rnacentral:lncRNA from 1 species
UUUUUUUUUUUUUUUUUUUUUUUUUGUCAACACAGGGGUAUCUGGGGGUAGCGGUCUGGGACUGGAUACCUGACACCGCCAUUAACCCCAACUAAUCCCACUGCGCCUGAGAGAGCGGGCCCCACCGAAUCAUCAGGAAUUUACCCCGGCUGCCCGAGCUCGGAAUCGAACCCAGGCCCUUCUCACUCAAUGGAGCUACAAGGACCGCCCGAGCAAACCGUGGGGGGCUAAAACGUUAACAUGUGUUAAGCUAAAACGUUUUGGUGUUCGAUGCUAUGUUGGUGGACGUUCUUGUGCCCGUGAAAAAGGAAAAAAAAAAAAGAAAAAAAGAAAGAAGAAAUGUCCCAGAAAGUGGAAACUAGACCAUGUGAUAUCUUUCGGCUUUCUACCGCAACGCUGAAUAUAAGCAAGUGCCUUCAACGCAUGUGUUUUCACUUUUCACUCCUUGGUGUGCCCACGUGUAUUCUUGCAAUUAAUUGUCCAUAUCCAGAAUAAGUCGCGUCAUGGUUUACUAUUCUUACAAAAGGACCUGCUCCAGUGGCUACUCUUAUAUCAGAAUCAGAGUCGCUUUUAGGGGAAUUCAACUUUUUAUGAAAAUAUAUUAAUCAUUAUGCCUAAAUGAUAUGACAUUGAAGAAUUUACACAUAUAUUUUUAAAUUCAAAAUAUUUACUUGAUAAAUAUGUAUUAAGAUUUUAAAAAAUUACUUUUUUAAAUAUUAAAUUAGAAAACAUAGAGUGUGUUUGGAUAGAGUAUUAUUUGAAAUAAUUACUAUAACACUUUUUGUGAUGUGAUGUAUAUGAGAUAAAAAAGUAGUUGAAAAUAUAAAAAGGUGGAUUGAAAAUGUGUUUAUGAUGUAAACGAAUUAUUAUUUGAGAUAAUUUACUAAUCCAAAUAUAGUUACCUUUUUUUUUUCAAAUAAUAUUUCUCUUGUAUCAUAAACAUAUUUUUCAACUCAUAUGUUUAUAUUUUCAACUACAUUUUCAUUGUACAUAUAUCACAUUACAAAAAGAGCAUGCUAGUGUGUUCGGAUAGCUAAAUUAUUUCACAUAAUAUUUCGCUUGCAUCAUAAACACAUUUCUCAACUCAUCUUUUUAUAUUUUUUAAUUAUUUUUUUAUCUCAUAUACAUCACAUCAUAAAAAAUAUUAAAAUAAUUAUUUUAAUUAAUAUUCUAUCCAGACACUCCAGAAUUCAUUCUUAUUUUGAAAUAUCAAUAAAAUGAAAGAGAGUGAGGCGCAUGUAUCCAUCCCAGUUGGACCCGGUCAAAAAUUUGCAAACAGUGAUAUUUUGAUUUCUUUCUUUAAAAGACAAAUCGUAUAACCCAUAUUUUAGAUGAACCGUCCAUAUAUACACACAUUUUUUCAUUACAAACCAGACGAAAUUACGAAGAAAUAGCUUCUAAUUAAACUCUUCAAAAGAAAGUACUAGUGCUAGUCUCACUUCGUGAGCCGCAACUGAAAGAGACGGCACAUACAUCGACAGAGUUUUAUGAAACACGUGAGAGUUUAUUUUAUUAUUAUUAUUAUUUUUACCUGGGAAAGUUAGUUAGUCGAGUGCAAGUCCACGUCAAAGUGAAGUUUCCACAAACAUCUGCCACUCCUUCGAAGAAGAUGGGGGGCAGAGAUUGCUUAGAGAUUAGACACGAGCCAAAAAAGAAUCACCAACGGCCGGAACUGGUGAUUGAUUAGACAAGCAACAAAAUCAACCAGACCUGUCAACUAAGAUGUCCUGGAUCGAUUGGGGAGCCAAAGUCACCGGCCAUCUGCUGAAGAUAAACAAUUCAAUAGCAUCACGCACCCAAGCGUCCGCAGUCAUAUUUCCAGAAAAUAUGAAGACCUUCAGAGCCAAUAAAUUUAGGAUUUUUGUGCCGGCUUCAGUGAUCAGCGAUGAGAUGAUGCGGAAGCCAACAUUUUGUCCACGUUCAUGAACCUGAACAGCCGGAGGAUGGUUGGGUUCGGUUCGACGUCAUAAAUUUGUUUACGUCGCCGGGUGCUGGCCACUCCCAACAAUCCACCCCUGAGUCGCCUAAUUCGUGCGUGGAUGCCCCCCACGUUGUCUACUUGUUAUGUAUAAAAUUUGCCGAUCAAGAAUUCUGGGAGUAGUAGAUUAUAGACACUUUGAGGAGUUGUGCUAAUUUUAAGGAGACGAGCAUUUAAAUAUCUAGAUACUCCAAGUUAUUAUUCGUUAAGGAAAAAAAUAAAAAAAAAGAGACCUUAGGAAACUGGAAAGAUAAAAUGCCAGAUUAGUUUUGGACUUCCUCUUAUCUUGGCCUACCUUCAAAAGAUCUUGCGAGACUGGUCUUGACAACAUUUUUCGCAUCAAUCGUUGGCGGAAUAAGAAAUUAAUGCGUUCAGAUAUUAAUGCGAUGACCAGUUUUAAUGUUUUUGGUGUUACAUUAGGUAUUCGGUAGAUGUGUCAAAAUUGGUGAUUCAGAUGGGUCAUAACCAGAUAAUGGGUAUAAUUAGAUCAUUCAAUUUAUAUCCAUUUAAAUAAAUAGGUAUAAAUGAAUCUCCAUUUAUUUAGAUGGAUAUGUGUAUAUUUAAUUAUCCAUUUAUGAGUCACUUAAAAUUCUAUUUUUUUUUUAUUUUUUUGCAUGUUGUUUGACAAGAAAUAAUGGUAUUUUGUUGUUAUUACAUUAGUAAGAAAUUAAAAUUUAUUUGCUUAACAUUCACUAAAAAUUGAGUUUAAAUAUAUAGUUAUUUUUAAAUGAGUAGAAAUAGAUGAAUCGAGUCAAUCCACUGCCCACCAAUUAAAUGAGUUUAAUUGAAUAUCUAUUUCAAAUUAAUGGACUUGCUUGAAUAUAUCAACGUAAUUAGGUUGUGAUUCACACAUAUAAUAUUUGGCACACUUUGGCCGCUCUGAUAUCUGGCGCCAAAUUAUGGGCAAAACAAAUAUUUACUUUCAGUACAAAUUAGAUAAGGCGGCUACUAGUAGUAUUUUGAUUUUAGUGGCAUUUUGUUUUUGUGAGAUUGAGAUUAGGGCAAAAGAGGCGGACGGCUCCAUCUCAUCAGCUUCUUGUUGUAUUUUCUUCCAUCUAAUUAUCAUUUUUGGCAAGGAUACAGGUUCAACCGAAUCUGAAAACUAUCCCGAUCAACUAACCGUCUAGCUUCAGCUGCCGGAGACGUACAUCUGAUCAGCAACUUUCGUCCCGCAUCUUUAUCCAGUGCAUACGUGGUUGCGUCUGUACAAACAAACCUUCUGCCUGUUUCAGAGUAUCUAAUCAAAACGACACAAAGUAAUCUAAUACUGCUACAUAACAAUUCCUCGAAUUAUCAAAAAUAAAUUAUUUAAGCAAUUGGCAUAUAGAGUACUUAUUGCUCGCCAAGUUAGAAAGCACAUUCUGAUAAAUUGCUGUUCAAAUUAUUCUUUAAGCAAAACGACGCAAACAUGCAUGCUGGUUUGUUUGGAUUGAGCAUUAUUUACCCAAUUUUAUUUGCUUACAUCAUCAUUACAAUUUCCAAUACACCUUUUUAUCUUCCCAAUUAUUUUUUUAUUUCACAUACAUCACAUCACAAAGAGUGCAACAGUAAAAAUAUCUCAAAUAAUCCCAAAUAACUUACAAUCCAAACAAAUCAUGGUUGCCAAUAGCCUCUUUAAGUCUUGGGAAGGUGUUCAACUGUUGUCACUUAAUUGUGGCUGCCACCUUCGGGUGGCUUCUUUCGACGGAGUUUUCCGUCGACUUCCCCUCCCUUUGGACUAGAUUAGAAUAGGUUUUACAAUUGUUAUCGUUGCGACAAAAAAAAAAAAUAGUUUCAUGGUUGGCCAAAAGCAAUAGAAACAGAAGCAUUCAACUGAUUUCAUGUCUCAGGAGCUCUAUCUGCAACUCUAAGGGUUAGUUUGAAUUGCUAUUUUCAUGAGUUUUUUGUUAAAAAAAAAGUGUUAUAGAGAUUUGAUACAUGUGAGAUAAAAAGAUAAUUAAAAAUUAUAUUCACGAAAAAAAAUAACAAUUUUUUUUGGGUAAAAAAAUCACAAUCCAAACAAUUGCAGACGCAUCGUUAGGUGAGUUGGGUACAUGCACGAAAGGCGAAAUGUGGUCCAGUGUAAUUACAAGUGUGGAAUUCGAACUUCUAAUGUUACAUAGACCUGCUUCUUUUUUCUUUUCCGUGAAACGAUCGUAAGUGUUAUCAAAUUUGGCCGGACGAAAAUCCACCCAAAAGGAUGAGAUGAGUCAGUGGGUUGCUUGUUCAAUCAAAUGUAUCAUUCACGUUCAUUAAUUUUUGUUUAGUGACGAGAAAAAGAAGGCAUUAAGUUCAUUCACAUUUUAGGGUCUGUUUGGUUGGAAGUAAAAUGUUUUCCUUGGGAAAAUAUUUUCCGUGGAAGUAAUUUUCCAUGAAAAUCAUUUCCCUUUUAUCAUUUUCAGGUGUUUGGUUAGCUUAUUGAAAAUAUUUUCUUACUUCAUUUUUCUGAUGUUUGUUUAACUUUUGAAAUAUUUUCACUUUUAUCUCUAUCUUUACUUUCUACACAUUAUAACUACAUACUUCUUCCCAUGCAAAAUAAGAAAAUUUAUCUCAUUGUUUAACUUUAAAAAAUCUUGAAAAAAGGUAUAUAUGAAUAAAAAUAUUUUCUUAAGCAAAUAAAUAAAUUGCUGGCCAUUUAGUGUCAAAUAUCAAUCACAUGCAAUGCUUAUUGUGACAUAUAUCUUGCACUCUCACUGCUGAAAGUUUCUCUAGAAAAGAAUGUCCCUAUUAUACAUAAUUAAUUACUAGCAUAGGAUGAGCAGGAUGAGGUUUUUUUUUUUUUUUUUGAAUAUACUAGGGGGAGGGUUGGGUGGUACGGGGGAGGGAGUGUAAGGAAGAGGUCUUGAGUUCGAGUCUUCCUAUUUACACUUAAAAAAAAAAAGAACAUACUGCAAGAUGAUUUCAGUAAGUUUGGAACAUACUACAGGUAAGAUGCAUGCAUUUCGGAAAACAACUUCAGGAAGUUGGGAAGGGAAGUUGUUUUCCAUAAGAUGAGUGAAAAUAUUUUACAUAGGAAAAUGUUUUCAGUAACUUUUGUGCAACCAAACACGGGAAAUUAGGAAAAUAUUUUCACCCGAAACAAACGGACCCUUAAUGUUUUCAUUGUUCGAUACCAAUCGAGACUUAACAUCAAUUGGGCAACACGUAUAAGGAGUUUGUAGGAUUAUUAUAAAGAUUACUGAAUUUUAUGGGGUGAAAUAUUAGUAAAAGUUUGGGGAAAAAUUGAAAAUAAGAUAAAUACAGCAAACUGUCAUUAUGCCAUGAUUAGAACACGACCACGACCACAGCCACAACCACGGCGUCUAGUAGGAUUGGAAUUGACAAUCAUUGAAGCCGCAAAAUCCGCAUUGAACACGUACAGAUGUACCGGACCAAAAUUGAUGAAUCCUGAAGGGAGUGGUAUCAUGUAUGUGAGCAGUCAGUCACGCAUGAUUGAUAACGGUCCCUACUCUUCACCCAUUCCAGUUGCAUGCACCAAAGAUCGGAGUCAGAUUCAACACAAGUUUGCACUUUUACUGUUCUGGCUUUGCAUGCCCUAAUUCCACACUGUUUUCUUUCUUUCUUUUUUUUUUUUUUUGGAUCUUUUCAAUAUUGAGGUCUGUACUCGUGUUUUUUUUUCCAAAAUCUAAGGAGAGGAACGGAUGAGGAAUGGUAGGAGGUAACCGUUGGCCUGUACCGUUUCCAAUUUAAGGAGGACUAAAAUGUCGGCCAGAAGUAACAGUCUACUACUACAAGGCCAUUGUUUCAUUGAGGCAAAGCAGCCUGGCUUUUCUCAUAGCAUUGCUGCUUUGCAAUGGCUAUAAUUGUGAAAAGAAAACAAAAAAGAAAAUGCAGGGCUGGGGCCUUGAGAUUCAAUAAAAACAAAUCCAACUCGCCAAUCGGACAACUUCCGAAUCCGGAUAACCCAAAAAGUAAACAGUCAUCCAGAUCCCGUCCUGUUCUAGUUGGUUGCAGACAUCGGCAGUUGUCAAUGUCAUCCCACUCUAAAAUGAGCAUGGGGGCACCAAUUGUUUGGAUAAGGUGUCUUUCUCCUGUGCUUUAUUUAAUUUCUGUGGAUGCAGAAACCGACUCGGUCAAUUCAGCUGGCUGCUGUUCGGAGGUCAAAGAAUUAAAGGGUUGCGGGCAAAAUUUAAGCAAGCAGGAGAAUGAGCAGGGCUGAGUAUGAUUUUGAUACAAAUAUUGAGGGGGCCGGGCAUGAUCAAAUUUUGCUAAGAAACUAAUUGAAAAGUUUUUUUUUUCUAUUGGAUUUUGAGAAUGUUGGAGAGUGGGCGGCCCUCCUCACCCCGCCAUCCCCUAGCUAGGAGUAGGAAGCCCCCUGUUAACGGCAUUUCUUGAUUUUUUUUCAGCUCAUUGAUUAAAAUAUCUAAAUAAAAAGACCUUUAAUUAAAAUCUCAGUGUUUCUUUAUUAUUUGAAAAGUUGUUUUACCUCACAUACAAUGUAUCAGGAGUUGCAGACAAAAACGACUAACAGCAUAAAUUCAUCAGAUACAUCUCUAGUUCUUGACUCCUUUUCCGUCAUACUGUAUCAUUGUCAAGACAACAUUCAGUUUAUAUCAUUCUAAAAGUGGAAUCAAAGUCCUGUGCAUAAAUGAUAAAUGUUGUCGUGGUCAUAACGGCUAUUAUAAUUAUUUUUUGUGGGUUAAAAAAAGUUAUUGUUUUGUUUGUUUGUCGGGUCGAAUGGGUCGUGCUUUUGUCUUUUCGACCCAACAAAGCAGACAAAGUUUACCAACUUAUCAACCUCAUUAACUUAAUAAUGAACUUAAUUAUGAUGCGUUUUUUGACUCCCUUAAUCAUGAAGGAGUUGGAAAGAUGAAAAAGAACCUUGCGUGAUUUAUGACUAAACUGCUUGUUUGACUUGAAAUAUCAUUCUUAAUUAUUGCUGACACUCGUUCCAAACCUCAAGCACACUUUCACCUUUCGCUUUCUUUCUUUAGGUGAAUUUUACUCUUUUUUUUUUUUUUUUUCUGGUUAAUUUUUGCCGUGGGAGAGUGGACACAGGACAAGAGCACUCAGAAAUCCGCCAGGAUGCUUUGGGCAAGAGAGUUCCCAAGUUAAAUUGGCACAAAAAUGGGCCAGCCCUGGUCCAAUAUUUUGAGCCCGUAUAACUUGAUGCUCUUUAGCAGUACAAUUCCUUCAAAUCUUCGUCCUUCUCUCGAGGGAAAGUUUGGAACAGAUGCAUAAAAUCACUUUUCAUAAUUUGGAUGUAUGUCAACUUAUACCGACAUAACUAUGAUAUGAGAUGAUAAGCGGUCGUGGCUUCAGCCGAUUGCACAUAAACAAAAGAACGUGCAUACUGUAUGACAGUGUAUACACUAUCACCGUUUGAUUCAAAAUAUGUGUAUAAAAAUUGAAUUUAAAAUUCAUAUUUUAUAUAGUUAUCAUUCGUCCAAUUACAACGACAGUGUGUAUACUGUUAUAAGAAAGAUUAAUCCUUACUUUAUUCCAAUAAUUAAUACCUUUUAUUUGUUGAAAGUUGGCCCAUUUACCUUGCAGGCCGGGGUCUCACUUAUCUUUUUUCCUUUUAACCUAUGAUUAUACUUUCUGGUUCCUUUUGCUUGGCUCGAUUCAAAGUUUUAUUGGUGAAGGCACCAUCCUCCUCUUGAGUCUUGAGACCUUUAUUCUUUAUUCUUUAUUAGUAUUUAUUUUUAAUUUAAAAAAAAAAAAGAAAGACGCACACGCGCAUACGCAUACGCAUACGCACGAAGAAUUUCGCCUUUGUUGUCUGGUUGGCCCAAACAGGCGACUUUUGGAUCAAAUUAUGAAUCCCCAAAAGAAAAGUCACCCACCACUAUUAAAGGUACUCUCUCCCCGUUGACUGUAUGCAGAAAACUCCUUCAUGCCUACUCUGUACCUAAGUUGGAUUUGUAAUUAAUAAAUUCAAAAGGUUUGCAAUAAUACGCCUCUGGUUUAGAGGUGAGCUUUUCUUCCUCUAGCCAUCCUUAGUUUUUUUUCUUUUUUUUUUUUAGGGAAAGCCAUCCUCUUACUUCAGUUGGAUUCUUUUCAAGUUGCCUGUUUAAAUGUGGCCGAUUAACCCCCCUGUUUAAUAGUAGUGUAACUCUGUUUCACCUUCUGAUAAUUCUACUGGUCUCAGUCUGUAUUGAUUAUAUAACACUAAACAACAAUUAGUGAUUACGGCAGGUAUUGUUUAGUUUGGUGCAGCUGUGUGUAUUUCUCUGAAAUUUUGAUUUUUUUUAACAACAAUUUUCUUUGUGUAAUGUUUAUAAAUUAAGUUAUGUUUAUACAUCGAAUCGGCAUGGAGGAAUAAAACUUACGCGUAAAAUAAAAAAAAAAAAAAAGAUUUAAUACGAUGACAAACCAAAUUAUGGAACGGAACGCAUAUGAUCAAAAUCCCAAUCAUACUUGUUCCUGAUCCAAAAUAACAGUCAAACACUUCUUUUUUGUUUAUGGUAUUACUAAUUGAGAGUGGCUUAAGGUCAAAAGUGAUAUUGCUGGCCUCCACGGUGAAGGAAGCAGAAUACCUUCAUUCUUUACGAAGCUAAUAAAUAAUCGUUUGAACUCCCAGUCUUGCAGUAUUAUAGCAUAUAUAUACUUUGAAAGGACUUCCUCGUUGGCGCACUUAAAAUACGUUUAAUAUAUUUCGUGAAUAUACACAAUUAUUAUACUCUUUGUAUUUAAACAUAUUUUUUUCAAAUUAACUAAACUUUUUUCUAAAAAACUAAUACUAAAAUCCUUCUUACCUAUUCAAACAUGGGCUGUGGCAUCUCCCAUGCACUUCGAAGUCUUCUUCGUACCUUUUCCUUAGAAUGUGACAAAAUCUCCUACUGUUGUUGUGUCUGUCUGUCCUCGUGCAUCUGUGGGCCGAGAAAGAGGCAUAAUGGAGAAGUCCAAAAAGUGCUCUUUCCCUUGUCUGUAAUCUUUAUUUGCAAUGAUGCAUGCGAUACGUCGUACGUUAGAAGCUCUGCUGAUGUAUUGUUUUUAUGGGAUACCAUUAUCAUUUUGAAGCAAGGUAUCAGAAUCUCUUGUUAAAAGAAAAAGAAAGAAAGAAAGAAGGAAAUGAGGUAAAGGAAUUUGGAUCACAGAAAUAUUUGGGCUGUGAGGCUCAGGAUUUGGUCGUAAUAUGCUUCACAGGCGUAUAUCAAUUUAGAAUAAAGUGCCUAAUAAGUGCUUUUCCAAAGCAACAAGUUGCUGAAAGUGCAUCUUUAGUUUAGAGAGGAAAGAGUGGGCAGUUGUGUCAUUUGCUGAAAAGGUUUGUAGGAGUGGUCACAUUAUUGUUUGUUGAUGCAGGGCUCAAUUCUUCGGCUAGUUUCUUUGGCUUUGGCUAGUGCCUGGAAUUGUCAAGUGCAAGUUGCUUUAGGCGACAUUACCAUCAGAAACAGCGGACUUUAAUAGCGAAAAAACCAUGCAUGCAAACCAAUAAUUGCUGCAGUAAAGCACAAAUCAUGAAGCUUUUUGGCGAUUGAAAGUUCUUGGAAACCGACUCUCAAUUCAUAAAUUGCAUAGCUCAACGUUGUGCAAGGCAUGGUAGUGGUGGUUUGGCUGGAAGCUAAAAUUAAAAGAACAUGGUAGGCUAGGGACUCAAAGGACAUCGAACAUGUUUCGUUUACUGCCUGCCAGAUUAUCACAAAACGCUUCCUCUUUCCUUCUGAUUCAGAAUAGUAGUAAUAAGGGCUUGUUAGGGACUAUAUGUAUAUGUAUUACUUACUCACUUUCUGAUGAAUUCAUAGCUCCAAAUUCACUCCCCGAAAGGAGAGGUUCUGGGCCAAAUGCAUAUCAGGACGUCUUGGUAACACGAUGCUUGCUAACUUUUGCAAAGCAAGAAUCUUUAGUUAGCAUUUAGAUUAUCUUUUGCGUGAGAAUUUAUAUAUAUUAAUACCAUGUCAAAAAAAAAAAAAGGGAAUCAUUGCCAUGGACGGUGGUGUUGCUAUAGAAUUGGAUUCAUGGCCAGAAUUAUCGUAAACAUUUGCCAAAAUAUAUAUAUAUAUAUAUAUAUAGGGGUAUAAAAAGUUGUGUAUUGUUCACAGUACACUCAUGUGGAUUUGCAGUUUCUUAUUUUAACAAUUGACUUGAGUUGAAUCUUCUGCUUGGCUCUUAAUCUUUUUUUGCUUUCUUUUUUGCAAAAGAGAGAAUCAUCGCCAGCAAGACAACACCAAAAAAGAGAUGAGGAUGGAAAGCAUUAGAUGUUUGUCUUUGUCGGGUCGGUGACCGGGGAAAAUGGUCAGAUCAGAAGUGGUUCUCAGACUUGAUUCUAUUCUUAUAAUUAUGGGUAUGGAUGCUUAAGUCCGCUCUUGCCUCGUCAUAACAACAGCAGGAGAAGCAGUUGGGUUCUCUUCAUGGAUGGAUGGAUAGGCACCGAGGCCAGAGAUUUGAAUAGCGUUCCCCGUUCCCAACCCAACCAGGCCCUUGUACUGUUUCCUUAAUAAUUGUAUGCAUUUUAUUGAUUUCUUCCUGUUUAGACGACAACGUGGAGUUUGACGCGCAAAUGGACCUUUCACUUUCACACAUAAGUGAUAAGAUAAGACCAAGACCGGCUAGAUUUAGUUCAUUUUAUUGGGGUGCUGAUGAAUUGUUUGUGGAUAACAAAUGUUGUUCCACAGACACCUACCAGAAGUCGGCAGAGAAAAUCUAGUUUGAGUUCCGAAUGUCAUCCUAGAUUGAAAAAUCGUAUGGACAAGUUUUAAUUGAAGUACUCCAAUUCCAACAGCUUCUAAAGCCUUGAAUCAUGUGGUGGAAGGUUCAUCAUCUAGAUGACAUUCGGUCAGGUCAACGUUGUUUGGAAUUGGAACGUGUACACCUGCUAAUUAAAAAAGCGAAGCACAGCAACGCCUUUUUUUUCCAUGCCGCAGUCUUAGCUAUGUAUGCGAACGUCCGGAGAGGACGAAGCCAGAAAGUAGGGAGGAUAGCAGACGAAGAUGAACUUCCCUUCAAGCUACGACCCUUUUAAAUGACCUAAUUAAAAAUCCAGUGUGGCCUCUGAUUAUCUCUGUCUGCUACACAAACUACCGUCCAUGCACGCUAUUUACAUCCUUUUUGACAAACAAAACCUUGUAAAAUAGGCUUCCAUUCUGCAUCGACUCAAUGAUGUAUUGCGGCACUUAACUUUGGAAAAAUGAAUUGUCAUCUCCAAACUGGAAUCCAUGCAAAGCAAUGCCAUGCGUGUUACGAUCACUAGGCCUUUGUCCAUAUGAAAUUAUCUGAUGAGGUGUUGAUGUUGUGCUGCUGUUUGAAAGGUGGAAUGCCAUGGUUGCUCCUUGAUUUGGUGGGUUAUAGUCGUAAAAUGCUUUGGAGAUACCAUUCAUAUCGGAAUUGGCUGAUGGCUGAAGAACUGGGGACGAUUCAUCUGUCGAUGGAGGUCUGUCAUCAUCAGGGGAGGGAGACUUCUUUUCAGCAAGAUUUACGGUUGUGAUAUCAUGAAUGCUUGAUCUCCUUUUAUCUUUUCCCCCAGAAAGCUGCCUGAUAAAGUACUUCUGGGCAUGACUGGCGACCUGAGUCGGCGUCCUAGUGGUCACGAAGUUGCGAGAUAUAUUUCGCCAGUCACCUUUACCAUAUUUCUUGAGACCCAAAAGAAAUUGCCUGACGGUUCAAAAUCAAUAGAUUAAUUCGUGUAUUACUAUUAGCCAGGAGGAGGGGAAGAAAGAAUAUCUAAAAUCAACAACUUGAGGUUUUGAAAACAAUCUUAAACAAAAUUUCGGCACGAAGAGACUGACUGGUGGUCAUGGUUUUCCAAAUCUUGUAGCUAGUUGACUCUAUACUUCGACGAGUUAUGUUUGAUGAUCCGGUUUCAAAAUCAAAUCCAUUUCAAUUAAGCGCUACAAAGAAGCUAUAAGCCAUAGAAUCUGGGCAUGUUUAAGCUGCAGUUUGAAAAUAAAGACUGGGAGACGAGGCUAUAUGGCGUUGGAGCUAAAUCACCUGUGUUCUUCCUCUGUCCAGGGCACACCUUUCUUUCUUUCAUGAUCAGAAUAGCGAUUGGAUGAGUUUCGCUUUCCCCCUGGGCCGUAGAAUUGCUUCAGGCCGUCAUAGUCGUGAUCGUUUACCCACUCUAACGUGAAAGAGUCACCUGUGUACCCAGGAAUGGGUAUUAAACCAGCCUCAAUGUCACCAACAUCGUCAACCAAUUCUCUGUAUUGUUUGAUCACGUCACUCACGGUCUUACCCGGGAUCAUAGUGGCCACAUUGAACCAUCUAUCCGGGGUAUCCUUGUCAAAUAAAGCCAGCGCAUUCUCAAACCUCUUGUUCUCUUCUGGUGUCCAUUUUGCUCCUUUGCUUUCCUCAAACAACCAACUGGAGUUCCCGAGAUAGGGCGAGGGAGAGAGAAUUUCCAUCCCUCGGCUCAUCAGAGCUAAAAAAAAAAGAUUUUGGCGACAAAAAGGCUGGAAGAGAGAAUCGAUGGAAAAUUUAGCCGAGGAAACAAUCCCUCGGGAGAACCCAGAGAGGAAAUGCGGAGGAAGUAGUGGUUUCUGGUUCUAGGGCCAGAUGAGCAUUUAAUCAACAGGCAUUAUGUGAAAAGAAUCUGAAUACCUUUUGGACACGGUUAUACGAGGUGAGGGAAUCUUGAAAAGGGCCCUCAAUUCUCCAAAGCCCAAGGAGAAUUCAAUAUGCUUUGGAAAAAGUAGAUGUUAGUAAAUUGUCAAUGGCAAACAUCAGGGCACUUUAUGAGAUCCUAAAGGCAAGAAAGAUAGGGCACCCCUCAAUAAAACCCCAUUUUCAACGUUAGUCCUAAGACUCCUUAACACCUGAGAACAGAAAGGGAGAGCGUUUAAGCUCCAAGAACAGAAUCAGAGAAUAGGCAAAAGAGCAAGCUAUCUGAAGAAACCAAAAAGUCGAAAAAACAUCCUAUGAGUUCAUUCAUAGAGCUGCAAUUUGGAUGCUUAGAUAAGAAAGGCAUAAUGGAGGAAAAGAGAUGCUAGUUCUAUACCUAUACUUGACAAGAAGCAAGGAGAUCCCAAUUCCCAAAAGACUUGGAGCAGUAAAAAGUGAAAAAGGGUUUCUUCUCCCUUUAUAUUUUUCUUUCUGGGUAGAAGGUUUCCUUCUCCCUCGAGUUGUAUGUCGUAGAUGGACAGGAACCAAGAAAAACUAGCACUCUGCUAGCUAGCUACGAAAGUUCCACAAGGUGCUCAAGGGACGGGAAGUGAAAGCAAAAGCACUUGGGAGCGCAGAGAUCCAGCAACUUGUAAUUGUACUUUCUGCGACCAAACGUAGUGAUCCACAGCUGACAAGUGAUACCAGAGCACCUAUGCUAGUAUUAAGGAAAUGGGGCGGUGGGAGACGCAGGGAGAUGGAGGUCGUCGAGGUGUGAUUGGCUGAAUUGGUUGGGACUGCUGCCCAACCCAAAAAGAAUGCAAAAUUGUUCUCAUCAACUAAAAUCUCAAUUUAGAAAAGGUAAAAGAAAGAGGGAGAAGGUGAAGAGGAGGCAAAGAAGCAAGCUGGCCAAUCAAAAGCCCGAAGAGACAAUUCUGUCAUUUGCUGAAACGGAUGCAGCAAAAUAGCGAAUUUUCAUUGUGAUUGAAAGGCUGAAAAAAAAAAUAUAUAUAUAUAUACUUACUUAAUGAGAAAGUUGGAAGUGGCUUGGGAAUGGCGGUGGUGUAAUUGUAGGUAUUCUUAUCCCCUUUUUUGUACGGCUGAAGCUCCUGAUCUGCCCCAUGUUUUAGCUUAUUCAUCUCUUCCUGUGUAGCCAUAAAAUUAAAAACGAUUCAAGGAAAGCUUUGUAAAAAUGAUGGAGUAAGUGCUGGGCGGUUUCCUUCCAAUUUCUUUACUAUAAAAUUGGGGCGUUGCUAUUGCCAGUGCACUUCCUAUAAUGUCACAGAAAAUUUGCUGCUUGGGACAGAAUUACCCUCGAGGUCAAAGUUCUAUCUUAUUAUUGGGUCUCACUCGUACCUUUCAUUUCAUCGGAUUAAACUAGGGAUGGUAACAGGGACGUACACUUAUGGCUGAUGGUUGGAAUAAAGUGCAAAAUGCAAAAAAAAAAUACGUUAGAUCUUUCAUAUAUCAAACGAACGCUACUAAAAAGUCUAUUAAAAAAAACAAAUAUAACAAUCAAAAGGAGAGCUAUACAUGAAAUGAGAUGAAAUAUGACUCAUCUCAAAGGGAAAAAAAAAAUAGAAAUGAAAUAGGAAUGUUUGCUUCUCCCGGGUUUUAUUUUUUUUUUUUGGAAUUACGAUGGAUCUGUCUCCAAAUUAUUUGGAGACAGAGGAUGAUGGGCUCUCCAAAUUACGUAAAUUCGAUAUUAGCGUUAGUCAAGAGGAUUGGGUAUAUGCAUAAAUAAGUGUACGAUCGCAAACUCGCCCAAACUUCUAAAUGUGCAACGCCCGAAGACAAUAAGAAUAUAGCACAAUCAACAAAACAGUCACUAUGGUGGGAUUCAAUGUACUUGCCGUGCGUACGAAAUAAAGCUUAGAUGAUAAAGUAGGAGUAAUAUAUAGAUAUACUAAUUCAGUCACUGAGAUUAGCUCAGUGGCCACCAAGGAAGUAGGGUUCAAAUUCCAUCUAUAAUGAAAAAAAUUUAAGAGUGGUCCGAAAAGCAUAUCUUUGAUUUAGUAAAGUCUGUGUGUACCUGCUAACUCCUAACACAAGCUUCUCUAGACUCCCUCUCUCCUGUAAUUUAGGAUAAAAUAGGUUAUACAAUUGUUAUCGUUUUCGAAAAAAAAAAUAUAUAUAUAUAGAUACACUAAUUCAAUACUCUGGAAUGCAGUGAAACUGUAGCUUUAUAUUACUAUUAUUAUUAUUCUGCAGUAGUCUCUAUGGUCUGCUCAUCUGCCAUCUUAAAUUUUCUAAUGAAUGAUGAUACGUAUUUGGAAAUGAAAUCAUGUUACUUUCAAUCCAGCUGUUGAAACUUGUUACACUACUAAGGGAUAAUAUCAGAAACCUCCCCUGAGGUUUCUUGAAAUAUCACUAGUUCCCCCCACAUUUUGGAAAUCUCUCUUACCACCCUUUGAAUUGACAUUUUCUUAACAAUGUCAGCCCCUCUAAACAAAAGUAACAAUAAAAAAUGCAUUUUGGAGGAGGGAGAGUAUUUUAGUUCCCUUAAUACCCUUAGGUUGACUGAUACAAUGAUAUAAGAAAGUUGCAGUAGGUGGAAAAUAUGAAUUGGAGAGUAUUUUUCUGGCAUGAGCACUGUUGCAUGACCGUUGGACAUGCAACGGCUACUUUGAGUGCUUCCAGUUUCUCCUUUAAAAGGUGAAACUACCGCUUGAAAUAGCUGCGCAGAUGGAGAGGUAACUGGGCAAAGAAAUGGCUAGUUCAUCCUUUAAUUAGGACACUCAUACAAUUAAACUAAUUAAACUCAUCCUUUAGGGUUUAUGAAAUGAAUGCAUUUAAUUAAGUAACUAAUUAAACUAAUUAAAUUACCUGCGAGUAUUACUUUCACAUAAUUAAUUUAUGUUAAAUACAAAAUCUAUCAGUUUCUCUUUCGUAAAAAUAUGAGUGUAAGACUUUUUGAAUUUUACUUACAACCAUUUGUAUAUUAAAUAUAAAUUAAAUGAUUCAGAGCAAAAUGCUCAUAAAUAGCUAUUACUUUGUUCGUGUAAUAAAGGAAACCCAUAAAGAGUUGAUAUGUUAUGGGCAAUUUCUUUUUUCUUUUUUACUUUCACGUAUUUAAUUUAUGUUAAAUACAAAACCUACUAGUUUUCCUUUCGUAAAAAUAUUAGUAUAUCACUUUUUAAAUUUUACUUACAAACAUUUAUGUAUUUAACAUAAAUUAUAUGAUUCAGAGUAAAAUGCCUAUAAAUAGCUAGUACUUUAUUCAUAUAAUAGAAGAAACCCGUAAAGAGCUAGUAAAAAGUGGGUAAUUUCUUUUUUUACUUUCACAUAUUUAAUUUAUGUUAAAUACAAAACCUACUAGUUUCCCUUUCAUAAUAAUAUUAGUGAAACACUUUUUGAAUUUCACUUAUAAACAUUUAUGUAUUUAAUAUAAAUUAAAUGAUUUAAAGUAAAGUGCUCAUAAAUAGCUAGUACUUUAUUCAUAUAAUGGAAGAAACUCGUAAAGAACUGGUAUGUUAUGGACAAUUUUUUUUUACUUUCAAAUACUUCAUUUAUAUUUAAAGGAGGUUACUGCUAUUUCUGUAAAAAUAUUUGUGUAAUGGCUUUUGAAUUUUAUUUGCAAAUAUUUAUGUAUUCAACAUAAAUUAAAUGAUUCAGAAUAAAAUACUCAUACAAACCUGAUACUUGGUUCAUGUAAUAGAGAAAAGCCAUAAAGAGUUGGUACUUUAUGGGAUAUUUCUUUUUUUAAAAAUAUUUAAUUUAUGUUAAAUAGAUAACUUACUAGUUUUUUUCGUAAGAAAUUACUAUAACACUUUUUGAAUUUUACUUAAAAAUAUUUAUAUAUUUAUUAUAAAUUGACUGUUUGAGAGUAAAAUGUCCACAAAAAGCUUUAAGAGUAAAAUAUUUAAUUGUUUUAAUUUCUUUACUUUAAUUUUUUUUCCUUUUUAUCAGCUAAAUAAGGUAACAGCAGAAACAAGGGUAUUAUUGGCAACUGAUGAAGUCAACUAGUGACUUCUGACCCCACAAUCACUCGAGGGGUGGUAAGAGAGAUUUCCAAAAUAUGGAGGGAGCUUAGUGAUAUUUCAAAAAAUCUCAGGGGAGGUUUCUGAUAUUAUCCCCACUACUAACCGGUACUACAAUUAAAGGAAAUUGAUAAAACAAUAAUAAUAAUUGGGUUUGUUUGGAUUGGCCUUUAUUUUUCCAAAUAUAUUUGCUUACAUCAUCAUUACAAUUUUCAAUACACCUUUUUACCUUCCUAAUUACCUUUUUAUCUCACAUACAUCACAUCACAAAAAAUGUUACAGUAAAAAUAUCUCAGAUAACUUACAAUCCAAACAAAAUAAUAACUUAAGCCUUUGUGUUUACUUUUACCAAUGCUACUCCUGACCUCUAAGCUGGAGCAAAUUCUGCAAAAAAUCUGAAACAUUGACCCAGUGGCGUUGUCUGGGACUGAAAGUGAGGAGCAGCAGCAUACUACUAUAGUAAGUAUAAGAGCUCGGCCAGAAUUUCCAAAAACGGAAAGAUUCCUACUACUACCGCGUUUCCAAAAAAAAAGGCAUGUGGUUAGGUGAUGAGGUCAUGCGGGCCCCCGCUUGGUUCGUACAGCUUGGCGUUUUCAUUAAUUUAUUUAUUACUCACCUCCCACGGCUUCUACCACGCUUACGGUCUACCUACUAAGGAGUGGUUGCCUAGUCUUCAGGGCAGUUACAGAGUGUAACCACGUAGUAUUUCACUCUUUUUUAUUAUAUUUUUAUUUAUAAUGAAUUACAUUUUACACAUUAUAAUAGUAUGAAUUCACAAUCAAAUUAAAUAUUUAUUUUAAUAAUGCACAAUUCAUAUCUUGUAAAUAAAUAAAUAAUUUUUUAAAAAUAAUUUCAUUAUUUUUUUAAAAAUAAAUUAUUAUCUUUCAUUAAAUUUUUUUUACUUUUUGGAUUUUUUAUUUUCUAAAAAAUAAUAUUAUUAAUUUCUGAGUUUAAACAAUAUAUCUUUUUCUAUCUCUCAAAAAAUAAUAUAUCGUUAUUUUCUAAAAAAUAAUUAUGUAAUUAUUAAACAACAAUGGAAUACCUCAAAUGUGAGAAUAUCAUAAUAAUUCAUACUUAAUUAAUAAUUCUUUAUGUAAUUAAUUGAACUCCAUAACAUAAUAUUACAUAAUUUCAAAAAAUAAAAUACAAAUAAUAACAUAAUGAAUACUAGUUUUCAUUGUUAUUGCCUCCGAAGUCCGAACCGUUCCCAAAUAUGCUCGACCUAGUCGGAUCGAAGUUGAUUUGGGUAAUUUGGAAAAUUUUGGUGGUUUUUGUGCUGAAGAUGAAUUUUAUAUAUUUAGAGUAUUCAACGUAUUUCUAAAACUACUAAAAUUUUCAUCCAUAAUCACAAAAAUAUUAAAAUUUUAGAAAAUUGUGCAAAGAGGUUGAGGGAGAGAGUAAGAGAAAUAAUAUAAUAAGAUAGUAAAAUAUGAAAAAAAAAAUUGGGUGUCUUGUGUGUUUAUAUAAAGGGAACCAAAAAAUGACCAUUGAAAAAAAAAUUGAAUGUUAACUAGCUCUAUGAAAUUUUAACUGUUGUUUAUGUUUAACAAAUUUAUCCGUUGCAAAAAAAUGACUCACUAUUUCCUCCUUUUUAAUAGCAUUUACACCCAUCAUUUUGAUGAUGCAUGUAAUGCUCGUUCCACGGCAACAAUGGAUAGCCGUGUAAUAAGUUUGUGUCAUGGGAGGUGUUAUACUUCCCAUAACAUGCUAUUGGAGUUGCUCUCAUAGGAAAUGUGAGAUGUCAAUAUACUAUUACGUACCGUCACAAAGGUUGAAGAACUUGAUGGUAUCAAUUUCAACUCUCCAAUCGAAAUCCAACUUUUGAUUAGCUUCUCCUUUUUCCGGUUUUUUUGUGCGGUGAAAAAUGUUUGAAAUGCGUGAACGAUUUUGAACGGCUCAUAAUCGAAUAAUUAGAUCAAUUCAAUUAAAUGGAUAUAAAUGGGCACCCAUUUAUGUUAUUUUAAUAAAUGAGUAUAGAUAUACCCAAUUACCUAUUUAUUCACUUAAAAUUCUACUUAUUUUUUUUUAAAUAUUGUUUGACAGGAAAUAAUGAUAUUUUAUUGUUAUUAGAUUGAUAAGAAACUCAAAUUUAUUUGCUUAAUACUCAAUAAAAAUUGAGUUUAAAUGUAUAAUUAUUUUUAAGUAGGUAUAAAUGGGUGAGUCGAAUAAACCCACCACUCAUCAAUUAAGCGAAAAAUAUUCUGGAAAGACUUCUACGUUAAUAUUAAAAUGCAGUAAGGUGGUAAAUUUAAACUUAGGAAAGUUCAAACCUCUUAAUAAAAGUUGCAUUUUUCUUGUAAAAAAAAAAAGGUGCUAAAUUUAAACUAAGGAAAUGCUUAAAUGCGAACAAUGAUAAAAUAUGUACGUAUGCACUGGAAAAGGUAUUCAAUAUUUACAUGAUGAAUAUCGGGGCUGUCGCACUUCGCAAACAUUUUGAUGGAAUUUGAUGCCAAGAGGAUUUGCAAGAGGGUGAAUUCUACAAUGCGUUCUUUCCGCAAAUAUCCCGUGUUCUCUGUAAUUAUAUUCCGUUCCCGUGGUCAACUUAGUAAAUAGACGCAAUUUGUGCCGAAAAUCUGCUUGGGCUCUUAUGAUACACUGAAUUAAACCACACCUAAACCCAGACAAGUGUUUUGGACUCCGGACCCCAUACAUCAAACCACCCUGGCCCAACAACCAUCUGCCAAGGCCUAGACCCAGAACUCCAUCCCAAGUCACACAGAAAGUCAAAUUAAUCCAACAAACAAACAAACAAAAGAAAAAACCUUAAAAGACUUGCGCCUCUAGUUUGAUUCUCAAUCCUCCUUUCCUUUAUAUGGUCAGCAGUUCCCAUUAGAGAAGAGAGAGAGAGAGAUAUAACCCCAUUCAAUCAAUGUUAUGAAUCAAGACACGAAUAUAUUUUGCCCGUUUCAAUCAUUAAUAUGAAUCAAGACAAUAAUAAAUUGGUGUUGUUGAUUGGCUUCUUUUUUUUUUUUUUUUAUUAGUAUUUCCGGUUAAAGAAUAGUUAAUGCACACCGUGGGAAUAAUCAUUGCUGUGAAAAAUAAAAUAAAAUCAUUGCUAUGAUUUGCAUGGAUUAAAUUUAAAAAGCACUUGGAUACAAUCCCUUUAGCAUAAUUACCAAAAUCUCUUGAGUAAAAAAUUCCUCUACUCAAAAGACAUGUACACCCAGGGGAUCUCGAAAGAAAAUCUGUAUUAAUUAACUCAUCUUGCGCCUCCUCUUGUGUUCUUCUUAUUCAUGUUCUGACUUGGUCUUCGCGAUGUACUACUGAUAUCUCAGCAUUUAGGAAGAUCACUGGGAGGUGGUAGAAGAGACUCGUUAGGUCCCUUGCCAUUGUCAACCAGGAAUGCCAUUUUCAGCCCCCAUGUCGUGUGCACCUCUAGGUGGCAAUGCAUAAACCAGACGCCUGAGAAUACGCACAAUUAAAGCAAUAUUUCAAUACAAAAUAAAACGAUGAUGUAAAUUAAAAAAAAUUAUAUAUCUAGAAGACUAACAAAUAAAUACAUAGAUGGUGGUUCAACAUUACCUGGAUUGUCUGCUCGGAAUCGAAUAGCCACCCAUCCACCAGUUGGUACUCCGAUGGUGUUCCUCUCGACGGGGUCAACGAGAUUAAAUUUCUUGGGAUCUGUCUUGGGAUUGAAAUUCCCUAGACCCCUGCCAACAGCAAAAAAGUUGAAGCCGUGGAGAUGGACUGGAUGGUUCUCAGGGGCAACGAUUCCAGUGUCCUGCAAAACCACCUGGACCGUGGCAUUGUAAGGCAGUCUGUAAACCUUUGUUCCAUUCUUAGUCUGUAGGUUUGCUGGAGGCGUUCCCGUAUAAUUGAAGGGACUGGGCGGAUUCCCUGGAAAGUCGGUGGUAAAGACUCCAUUUAUAUUGAAGAAAUGCGCCUGGAGGAGCGCUACGGUUGGCAUCACGAAGGUGACGUUGUUUACGCUGGCCACCACCCGGCUACCGUUGGCGGCUUUGCAAGUAGGACACGGGUUAAUCCCCAAACCCACCACGAAGAAAAGGGAGUGAUCCACGGUCUGCGGAACCUGGGCAGGGUAUUUUUUGGAAUUAAGGCUUCGGAGGGAAUUAGUGAAUUUGUUAGCGACCGGGGUAGCAUUCAGUGCUGGUGCAGUGGUAAAGGUGGUAGGGGAACUGGAAAGUGUUCCUGAAUAAUGUAAGGUGGCUGUGGCUGAGGUGUUGUCGACGGCGAUGGUAGAGUCCAUGAAGGUAGAGGCAGAAACCAUGUAUUUGCCAGCGGACUGGUCAGCUGUUACGAUGACGUUGGUAGUUUGGCCAGGGGCGACUAGGAUGGUGUCGGUUUUGAAGGGUUUUACGUAGGUGGCAUCGACUUCUACCACUGUCAAUGUGUGUCCUGCGAUCUUGAAGAAGAGUUCCUCAUUGAGUGCAGCAUUGAUAACUCGGAGCAAGUAGCUCUUCCCUGGUUCCACGCUCAACGUGAACCCACCUUGGUCUGAUGAACAGUUUGCGACAGCUCCAGGAUGACCGUUGAUGGUAUGAGCGUCAGAGACAUUGGGAGCCAUCCCUGAUUUUAGUGCCUCAUUGAUCACUGCUUCGGUGUCUGAUUUCCACCAUUCACCUGCAGUAGUUUCGAAGUUUAACUGGUGAGUUCCACCAUCCCUGAUUUUAGUGCAACCGGACUGCAUGCUUAGAAUUCAGUGUACAUUACAUUUACUGAAUAUAACGUAGGGUACUGUAUUAGAGGAGGGUUUUUAGAGUUCUUCUCCUCAGACUGAGUAUAGUCAGGGGUGAAGUAAAAACAAAAAAUGAAAAGAAAAAAAAUGGUGAUAAUUGACAUAGCUCUCUCACCUAAUACGACAACGUUUUCGUGAUGGGGCUUGGGAAAUGGAUACAACACACCACGCUUAGGCAAAAUGACCACAGCACCGUGUACGGUGGCCCUCAGCCAUAAGAUAUGAGCGUGCCAAAGUAGGGUACCCCUUUGGCCUGUGAUUGUGAAGUUGUAUACGUAGCUUUGCCCUGGCUGGAUUGGGCAUUGUGUAAUGUAUGCAGGUCCAUCUGCCCAUCCUGUCCGAAGCUGCCUGACACCGUGCCUGCCAUGUUUUUCCAACAAAUAUACGACAUCCCAAAACAUUUACCACUAUAAUAUAUACAUUACUGAUCCAACUAAAACAAGAUUCUUGAUUUAAUUACCAGUGGAUUGAUACGUUAUACUUGACAUGGUUGACGACCCUGACGAGAACAGUGUCAUCUUCCCGGGCAUAUAAAGUUGGUCCUGGGGACUUUCCAUUCACGGUGACAAUGGGCUUACUUGAACACAAGCGGGUGAAGUUCUUCAGCACCACCUGCUCACAGAAGUAAUCCCAACCAAAUUACAGCUGCAAAGGCCUACGCUGGAGAGACUACUAAAUACCCAAUUUGCACCACCCUACGCUCUCACUACCAAAUACUAUCGUUUUUCUGAAAAUUCGUUACCAGAAGUGGGAAAACAAAGCUUCAUCAUUCCCUCCACCCCGGCGGGAUUUAUUUCAAAAAUUCAAAUACAAGUUCGAUAACUAAUGCUGAAGUACAUUUGCCCAAUUUGAUUUCUUCAGUCUAAAAUUCAUGUGGAUAAUAUGCAUUUAAAGAAAAAAAAAACUACAUUUUUGCAUGGGCAUGCAGCAAUAAGUAUGAUCUACAUCAAAUUGAAGUACUGGUUUAGUGUGUGUGUGUGUGGGCAUUUUUUUUUAAAAAAAUGUUAUCUUACAUCGAAUUUGUAGUGGCGAACUCUGCAGUGGACGAGUGCAGGAAAUAAGAAAAAUGCCAGGAUCAAAAUUUGAACCCAGGAGGAGGAGUAGCCACCCAUCUACGUCUUCUUUGCUGUCUUGUCUCUGUGUAACUUCAGUGGUUUUUAGCGUCGUUGCGGUUGCGCUCGGGCUGUCAGCCAUGACUGGCUAACCAACCUUAUAUAGGUGAUAAAGGUCAUUGCCUCAUUGCCUGCUGCCCGGUCCUCUAUCUUCAGUAGGUGAAUGGAUGGAUCAUUCGUGGAUCCUUGAAAUACAAGCUUUUCUUCAGAAAACUAACGUUUGCCUAUCGUUUCUUGCAUAUUACAUAAAGUAUUUUUAUCUACUGCACCAAUUCCAUUUCAUAAAUUAAUCUUACUGCCAUCCUUUCACCCACCCUUAUUCAUCUAAUGACUUGGACAUAUGAACCAUUCAACUCAAUUGCUUUAGCUUGCUCUAAAUCUUGUGGAUAUAUUUGUUCCCCUCUAUUUUUAUUUUAUUUUUUUUGCUUUUCGUGGUUGUUAUUUCAUGCAAAUCACAAAUUAAACACACACCAUUCUUUUCUUUUCUUUUCUUUUCUUUUUUUAACAUAUAAACUUUUCUACCCUACGAUUAGUUCUACUUUGACGAAGCAUCCUGAAAUUCACUUUUCAAAAGAUUUCUAUUUUUCUUUUGGGCUCUGGUUUUGUUUUGUUGGGGGGGUUGGGGUGCGGGAGCUAAAACGUCCCUAGUAAACCAGUCACUAAUUUUGAUUUUUGACUAGUUUAAUAUGUUUCUUCAAAUUGCAUUAAGCUAGGGUGACCAGCAAAACAAUCCAGAAAUCAGCUGGUGAUCUGGUCCGAGGGACCAUCUCAAUUGGUUGGUGAAACAUUGCCAAAGUCUAAAAGUGCUUGCUUACGCAUUCAUGGUAACAGAGAUUCAAAAGUUAGUCCGCAAAUAGUCCCCUUUCAUUUCUAGAAUCAAAUUCGUCACUUCAUUCAGGUUGGUUUUAAUCCCUGUUUUUCUUGCAUGACUUCGCAAUUACAUUUUCAAAAGUGCUCCUACUUCGGCCCUUUUUCAAACGGUUUCGACACCCCAACACCCCGAGACAACCCUAUAAAAAAAAUAGUAAAAAAGAAAAAUGGGGACGAUUAAAAUGAACUACAGAAUGUCUCUUCCAGAAGUCCGGAAAAUAUAUAAAUUGCCAGUCCGUCCCCUUCACAAAACCAGAAUCCCUGCACCAUUUCUCUUUUAUCUUAAUUUUUCCCUCGAACUUUUAGAAAGAUUAUGCUUGCCAGCCUGUUAAUGCGUGAUUGUCUAUAUAAACUAUUUAUUUAUUUAUAGUUUAAGAAGGAAAUGAGAAAGAAAGAUGUGGAAGGGUGAACUCAAGAUGAUGGAAAUUUAACACCUUCAUUUAAACGAGAUACAAAUCCUGCAGAUGCUCUGUUGUGAAAUUAACAUGCAUUAUGUUGCAGAUAACCCUAGUUGAAAUCAUCAGGUGAGAAUUCGUUAAUGCUUCUAUCUUGAUCGGCUUUAAAUAUCCCCAUCCUCGACGGAUGAAACCAGCAAUAAUGCUUAAUGAUUAAAUUUGGCAUCCUAUGCUUUGAGGGGGGGAAAAAAUCAAUAUUAAAAACUAAACUUGUUAAUAACGUGCUAGUAAUUUUUAUUUGGGAAUUCCAAGUACGUAUGAUACGAUUAUUGACAGCUUGGGAGAUGAAAGCAAAAAGGGAGAAUGGUAGCAUACCCUUCCUAAGCAACACCUAGAUUUAGUUGCUACAUGGUUGUCAAAUUCCUUUCAGGUAUGCAUCAGUCAGUUUCUUGUAGCUCCCACCGCCAUGAGGACAUCAUAUGUACAUAGUUUGAACGCUAAGGCUAAGCCAACUAGCAUCAGAUUACUUGGUUAACUCACUCACUCAUUAUUGUCUCAUCAGCCCAUUUUAUCUACCUCCUUCCCGGUUGAUUGAUGGAUCCUUGAACACAAUGAUGAUUGGUACUUGUACUAAAUCCUAAAAUAUUUUUAUUUGUGGUUGAGUUUUAGCGUUUGAAACUGAUUCUUACUGUUUUCGCAUGAGCUGGUGGCGGACUUUAUCGUCCCUUCUUAGUGGUGAUGCCAUCAUUACCAUGUUUUAGUUUCCACAGUUUAAUUAAGGUGGCAGAUUGACUUUCCCUUACUGCGGAGAUGUGCCGAACAAAGCCACGAACCUAAUUAAUAAACCAGUAAAAUGCUAAAAAUGCUUGGUUUUCUGUUUCUCACUUCGAAAUUAGUACUUGAUUUUGAGUUGUUUCUUUCUUUUAUCCCUUCCCAACCCCAUUGAAAUUACUCGUUUUUGGUUGUUUCUUUUUUUUUUUUAACCCUCCUAUCCCUUUUCAUCCCCAUCUUGAAUUGUUCCCUUUUUUCUUUUAACCCUUCCAUCCCUUCUCAUAUCUUUUCCUGAAUUUUAUAGCGAUGAAAACUCUAAAAAUCUCGCUGAGAUGACCCCAGUAAUUCCAAUUUUGAGCCUUAACUACUCACGGAAAGAAUGACAUAAACUUCCAUCUGAGUCCUCUUUUGGAUUUCAUUAUUGCAUAAGGCUUGAAGAUGUAUGAGUGGGCCUUGCAAUUAACACUAGCCCGGCCAACUAAAUGGGUACAUCUACAGAACAAACUAAAUACCAGAAAACGUUACAAACCAUCUUGAAGUGGAAGAAGGUAAUUUAUUGGUGAAUUUUACCAAAGCUACAAAACACGGUCCGUACUCUCUCUUCUUUUUCUUUUCCCUGUUUUCUGCAUGAAAUAUGAAUGUGAGUAUGUAUUUGAUCUCCGUUUCCUUGGACGUGAUUGUGGCUAAAGACCAGUUUGAUCAAAUAGCCGUGUUCAUGGCACCUCAAGAGGGCGAUGGAAACGCUCCUCCUCAAUCAUGCUGACCUAACCCAAUCUCCCGUCAAAAAAAAAAAAAAAAAAAAAUAGACAUUGAGUGAGCCGUCAAUGAUGGUGUUAAACAGUGUUUUAAAGCUUGGAUUGGACCGAUCGGCUAAAUCAAGAUUUGGAUGAGUAUUCGAUCCGAGUAAAUGUAAAAAAUCGGGUGGCAGAGAUCUGGUCAAAACCGGUCAAGAACCGGGUCCAAUCGAGGUUAAACUGGAAAACCAAAUCUACCAAAAAGCCCGGUUCUAUUUUCCCAAGUUUGUAAAUUUUUUCUAGGCAAAAAAAAAAAAUUUUCAGCCUUUCACUCCCCAAAUCUUCAAAAGAAUCAAUGGCGGAACGAAUCUGCAAUGGAGAAGUUGCUCCAUCCACACUCCUUAAAGAAAACUAAUAAGGAAAAGAAGAAACAAAUCUAAAAAGAAAAUAAAAAGAACAAAGAGAUAGAAGGGAAAGUAAAAGAACAAGAACUUUGCAGUUUUUGUUUGAUUAGAUAAAGACAAGACAGUCAACCAUGGAACUAGAUAGGAAGAAAAAUUUGACACAAAAAGAAGCGGAGGAAAAGACCAAAGUUGAAAUUGGAAGAUGAAACUCAUGACACAGAGUCAGACGGCUGAGACAUAAAGGCCACAAGAGAAUGAAUUAGAGUUAGACCCCCUAAGUUUUUCAGUAUCUUAUUUUUCUCCCUGAACAUUUUGGAUAAUUAUACAAGUUCCUGUGAUAUUUCUUGAUUUUCAUUUGCAACAUUAAUCGUAAAUACACUCUCAAAAAAGGUGCUUUUCAACUUUUUAAAUAUUUGAUUUUAAUCCCUCGAUGUUUUAAAUAAUCGUAAAUACACUCUCAAACUUCUAUGUGCAAAUUUGACUUUAUAUUUUUACAAAUGAGGCUCAAUUUGUUCAUUCUCUUGAAAAAAUAUACAAUAUGCAUUUGAAUCUUAAGAACAUUAGCCAAUAAAUUUAAAAUUUUGAUUUUUGUGUUUUAUUUGAAAGUCUUGUUAACUAGUUGAUGUUAAUUAUCAUUUGUUGAGUUUACAAUUAAGUUAUUUUUUUAUGAACUUGAUGGGCAAGGAAUAUGAUGGUGAAAAUGAAUUUUCACUACACUUAUAGUCAAUUUUUAAUGUUAUUUACUUAAAUAAAAUUAAUAUAUUUAUUUAUUUAUAAUAUCAUGAUUACGUCAUCGGUUCAUACCGAUCCGACCUCGGCCGAAUACACUGAUCCUUAAUCACUGAACUUGUCCGAGUCAUGGUCCGAAUUUCAAAACAUAGGUCUGAAUUGAACAGUGGGCUACCUGCCCUGCCAUGCAUGCGCGUACACUCAAGUUUAUGGCUUUAUGACUGGUUUACCUUUUCCUAAUGGGAAGACGGCGGCCUGCUGUUCCUACACAGGGGUCGCCACCGCAGCAUCAAUAUGAAAUAAAUCUGCUUUGAAUAAAAAUAUAUAGUGUGUAUUUUCUAUCACAAUUUCCUCGGUCUAUCAAUUGCUUCAUCGCCAUUUAACUGCAGUUAUAUAUUUAAAAGCAAUAUUGUCGAAAACAUAUAUACAUUCAAAAGCUGUCUGUCUAAUUCUUUUUUUUUUUUUUUUUUAUUUUUUGGAUCUCCAAAUUGGACGACUCAAAAGUCCCUUUUCUCAAAUGACUCAAAAAUUCCACGUAAUCUUCAUGUUUCCCAAACGACUUGACUGCUGCCUCAGCUUAGAUUUGCAACACCUGAACCCUACCACAAAACUCCAUUAACUUCAAUUAAGCAAUCACCAGCAGUAAACUUCGGUAAUUUUGUCAGCACAAUAUUUUGAGCACACCUCACUUUUUCUUGAUGUUCAACGAACAAGAAUCAAGAUGAGAGACAAUAGUUGAACCGUUGCCCUACAAAGUCUCAAUUCUUUUGUCAUGACCAAUAAACGAGCCGUUGUUCAAAGGGAGUAGCAUCAAAUUUGCUUUUUAAACCAAUAAAAACAAAUCCAUACAAGUCAGACAGAGGUCUUGCCGACGAGAUAAUGCAACUUAAUGAGAGGUUCAAAACGCCUCCGCAGCUCUUGCACAAUUGCCCCCUCCCUCUCUCUCUCUCUUCCUCUCUUACUUGGAUGACAGCAAAUAUGAUGUCCCUAAAAGCAUUUCAAUCCCCUUUUACUCCAAACAAGCACGCUUUACUCCGAGGAAGAGAUUACUCCAAGAGGAAGUACACCAACCUCCUCCUAUGCAAGGCAAACGAAUCAGAUUCGGGAACACCGCCACCUGAAGGAGAUAGAAGAAAGCAGGAAUUGCUUGCCCGAAUAGCAAUGCUGCAAGCCCAAAAACUACGUCUUACUGAUUACUUAGAUGAAAGGUCCGCAUAUCUGACCCAGUUUGCAGAAGAAGCCAAUGCUGAAAUUGAUCAAAUAGGUGAAAAUGCUCUCAAAGAACUUGAUGAAGCUGGCUCCAGGGUCUGUUUGAUCUCUUCUUUAUCAAGAACAUAAUUUCUACUAGGAAAUUAACUUAUAACCACUUCAACUAAUUUUCUUGAGCAGAUAAUGGAAAACAUAGAGAGCCAGAUGCAAGCCUUUGAAGAAUCGGCAGAAUUGAAUAAGCAGGAGAUUGAAGAAAGUGAGAAGAAGUUGGCAGAUUUCGAAGGCCAAAUUGAGGAGGACAGAAACGAAGGUCUGUUCUUCAAGAACUUGCGCCAGAAAACACCCCCUGGAAAAGAGAGAGCUGAGGAGGAGAGAAUGAAGCUUAGAGAGCUUACCAAGGAAAAUGCUGGGUCUAAAACUAGGAGGAACAUUUACCUUGCACUAAUAGGCUUGGUACUUAUUGGAAUUUGUGAUGCGUCGAUCACUUCAUCAUCUGACUGGCGUAAGGUAGCAGUUCUUGGAGCAAUCUUGGUGGGUUUGCUUUCUCAACUCCUCUACGAGCAAAUGAUGUUGUCAGAGACAGAAAAAACAGAACAAAACAAAAGCAAAAUAGAUAAAGAGUGAUUUUUUUUCUCCCCACACCACUGAGAUAUUUGAUUUCACUAUAGCAGUUUAAGAGAAAACAAUUUGAGUGUCGCAUGAGUUAUAACCCCAAAUAAGGUCUUACCAUUUGGGGCUAAUACAUCAAGCAAAUUUAGUUUUGCAUCAUUGCUAGGUUCUGGAGAUCCCACUACGACCACCAAACCUUCUUUUUUGAUGCUUUCCAAUGGAAAUUUACCAAUGAGAAUACAACCAAGACACAUGAAGGAUAUGUGAAUUGAAAAAGACUAAAAGCGGAAGCUUCCAGACCUGUAACAAAUCACUUAAAAUUGCUGCAUGUACUACUAUCACUUAGGCCAGCUAAACUCUGGUUCAGCAAAGAAGCUGCAAAAUUAAGUGCAAAUCAGUUUGCUAACAAAACUUCCAGGAAAAAUUAUCAACCUACUCAAACCUUAAGCCCAAUGCUGUAAGUAGACAUGAUUCAUCUAUUCAAUCCAUCCGUACCUGAACCAAAAAUUCACCACAGUUACCAUAUAAUGGCUUAUGCCUUACAAACUCUCAAAGCAACUUUCACGUGGACAAGAAGUCCAGAAUUAUAUGCAUUUAUGACAGGAAUAAGGGUUUGGUGACUUGGAUACCAAGAUUCUAGGAACUUCGAACGCAAAUGUGCCUUCACAGUUGACAUGACCAAUGCUUUUUGCAACUAACCUGCAAGACCAAAAUAAUCUUAGGAUGCAGAACACGAAAAGCAGUAGAUCCUUAAUCUUGGGAAACACUAUUCAAAUAUCACUUCUUUGAAGAAAGAAAGUAAUGCUCAUAUAGUCUGUAAUAUCUGUCAUUUCACAUCCAGGAGGUAACUUGAGAACCUGAGAGAGUUGACUUGCAAUAUGAACUUCAAACUAUUGCAUACCGAUAGCAGGAACUUGUCUUGCUUGAGUGGAGUUCACAUAAAUUCGAACACCAACGUUUAACCAUAUGAGACUCAAGCUGCAAUCGAAAUGGUGAUCUAUUAAAUCUAAUCAAUCAAUAAAAGAAGCAAAACAAGGAGGCUAAGCCAAUAAGAGUCAGUAAGAUUUAGAAAUCUAACUUUUCAAGAUCUAGAACCAAGAUCAUGUUGAAGCCCGUUCAAUAAGAACUGCUCUGACAAGUAUGUUCCAAGUGAUUAUGGUAGGAACAAUUUUCUUACUCAAAGCAUCAUUCAAGAAUGACAUUGCAUACGACAUUCUAUUGCAAGAACAAAGUCCUUUGAGGGUGAUAUUAUAUGAAAUGAUGUCUGGCUGAAGCCAACCUCUCAAAAUGCGAGCCCAGAUGACUAAUGCAUUUUUGCAGUCCCUGGCUUUAUAAAAGCCCUCCAUUAGAGAAUUAUGAGUAACAAGGUUUGGCACACAGUUCAACUGACUCAUGUUGAGAUACAGAUGUAAAGCAACGUCAAUUUUGCCAGCCAAACAGAGGCCAUGAAUCAUUAUAUUGUGCAUGGUAACAUCUGGCGUCAAACCCUUGCUGACAACUUGGCUCCACAAGUUAAGGGCCAAGUUAAUCUUAUAGCCUUGACAAAGACCUCUCAUUAACAAGCUAUAUGUAAUCAUAUCCGGCUUCCAUCCUUUUUCCAGCAUUUCCUUCACAAGCUCAUAUGCUUCAGCAAACCUUUCACCUUUGCACAGUCCAUCUAUAAUCGUGUUAUAAGUGACAAUAUUUGGGGAACAGUUUAUGCUGUUCAUUUUGUGUAAAAGCUUGAGAGCAUCCUUCAUCUUAGAAGCUUGGACAAAUCCAUCAAUAAGUGCAUUGCACAACUGGGAAUUUGGUUUACAGCCGCAUUUGAUCAUCUGAGCAAGCACCCUAACUGCUUUGUCUAGUGUACCUUCUCUGCAUAACCCAGAAAUCAUUGCUGAAUAUGCAAAAGCAUCAAGAACAUUUCCUUUAUCUUUUGCCUCUUCCAAAACCAACAAAGCCCUGAAAAGGAGUCCAUUCUGACAAAACCCAUAAACUAAAGUUCCAUAAGUUGCAGAAUCAGCAGAUAGUUCAGUCUCCACCAAGAGCUUCCAAAGUGCACUUGCUUCAUCCACCUUUCCAUUCUCAAAUAAAGUUCUCAUAAAAAUGUUGAAGCUAACAAUAUUGCGACAACCCUCCCUUCCCAUCAACUCCCACAACUCAAAGCUCCUCCUAAUAUCCCCAGCCCGGCCAUAUCCAUUAAGCAUUGCAUUAUAAACAACAACGUCAGGAAACACCUUAGUGUCAAUCAUUUCUGCAAAAACUGCCUCUGCCCCAUCUAUAUUCCCUAACUCACACAGCCCAUGAAUCAACGAGCUACAUGUAAACAAAUCCAUUUUCCGCUCAUUUUUCCUCAUUCUGCUCCACAACUCCAGAGCCUCAGUAAACCUUCGGCAUUUGCACAACCCACUAAUCAUAACAUUAUAGCUAAUCACACUUGGAUAGACACUUGAUCCCCUUAUCAUCCUCUCCCACGUCUCAUUAGCUCCCGCUAAAUCCCCUUUCUUGAAAAAACCAUUAAUUAGGAUAUUGUAACAUGUCACGUCCGGAAUCACACCCCUCUCAGACAUUUCGUCGAGCAGUUUCAAGGCGCUGCGCAAAUCCCCAACUUUAGCAAGCCCAUCAAUCAAUGUCCCGUAACCAUACACAUCAGGCUUGAAACCGUUGUCCCACAACCAAUUCAGCAGCUCUUUAGCGUUAUCAAAUUUCCUCCUUCUACAUGAAAGCUUGAUCAAAAUGUUGUAGGUUUCUAAAUUUGGCGCCACCCCCAUUGUCUCAAAGGAUCUAAAAAACAACUCCGCUUUGCUCAGUUGAUUUGACACCACAAAAGCGUUGAGCAGAGUAUUGUACGACCUAAUACCGGGUCCGCACCCAAAGAUUUCCACCAUGUUUUGAAAAGUUUCAACUGCUUUGUCGACGAGUAAGUUCUUGGAAUACGCUUUGAUCACAGUCAAUGCAACGUCCUCAGAGCACUGGAAUUUCUGGGUUUGGAUCAUAUCAACGAUUUCGCCAAUGCGAGGCGGAAGUUUCCCAUUCGAGUUGGAAAGGCAGAGGCGGCGAAGGAUGUGGUGGAAGACGACGGCGGUGUGGGUAUAACCCGGGUGUUGACUAGCAGAGUCGAAAAGAGAGAGCGCUGAGUUGAGAUUCUUUUCGGAUUUGAGGAGCUUUAAGAGAUGUUUGGAAGUGAGGUUUUUGGGCAGUUGAGCCAUAGAGAACUGAAGGGUUACCAAUAGGAUUGCGUGGUCUCAUCAUAGCAUGGUCGUUUCUUCUUUAAUUUGCUGUUGAAGAUUAGCGCCUGUGCGAUAUGACGAGGACGGGGUAACUCCAGUGCCGGCUGAGAUUCUUCUGACAUAAACACAUCCCGAGUUCUAAGUCUCCAUAUCCGUAAUCGUGCGCCAGGGACGAUGGGAAUGGUUGAGGCUAAUAUAUAGGGUUAAUCGCAAUUUAUCCCCUUUAAGUAUGGGUCAUUUUUCACUUUACCCCCCAACGUUUGUUUUUCUUCAGUUUAUCCCAAAUACUAACAGUCAACUCUAACGGAGAUUAACAGAAUAAUAAAAAGACAGUAAUACCCUUAAGAAAAUAAUGAACAACCCAAAAUACCCAUAUGUCAAAGGUUUAUGAAACGGAUAAAAACAAAUUUCCAAAAUUGCCCUGGGACAAUGGAGGAGGAAAUUUCCCUCCAUCGGGCACAUGGGACAAGAAAAGGGAAACCAGAAGACAAAAGGUUUCCUUCCUUUUUGUCAUUGUCGGUCAAGUCUCUCUCCCCUCUAUCAGCCUCUUUCUUCUUCUGUAUUCCUAGCAAAACCUCCAUUAAAGAACAUGAAACGACACCAGAAAUAGAAACGGCACCUGCUUUGCGGGUCGGACCCAGGUGCAAUUGACCCAUCGGUGGUGAAAUCUCAAUUGGGAAGGAGGAAAGUGAAGUUCGUUGGGUGGAUUGUGAAAGGUGACGACGAACCUCAGAAGAGAGGAGGACUGGGGCUGCUUGUAGUGGUAGUGGCGGUCGGCGUCGUGGUGCUGAAGAAGAAGAGCGGUGACGAUACCAGUCCACCAGCCGUCCCUAUAGUAGGCAGGCGACGACGUCGCCUAGGCCGAAAUAGGGUUCAGAAGAAAGAGGGUCAGGAGGAGGCACAGGGUUGAGGAAUUCGGCAUUGAUGUACUCGCGGAGAGGGACAUUGGAGCCCUCAUCGGCGACGAGGGUGUGGUACUGGACGUAGGCCUUACUAUUGGAGUGGAAUUUGAAUUUGCGCUUCUUAGCAGAAGAAGCAGAGGAGGAAAAAGAAGAAGCAUAUAAUUUUUUGAAUUUUAUGUUGGUGAGAAAGCUUCUUGCACGUUUACUGGCUGAUGCUUAGGUUAGUUUGAAACAUCUGUGAUUUCCUAAUGGAUAAUUUCCUCAUCUGUAACUUUUUUGCUCAUAUUCUGCUUUGCUCUGUUGGAUUAGUACUCGUGGGUCUGUUAGAAUAAUCCAAACUGUUUCUGAAGGCUUUGAACUGUCAUGUUAGCCUGAGGAUUAUGUUAGCCUGAGGAUUAGUUAAAAUUCACAGUAUGUCAGAUAGCUAAUUCACUCUGCUGUUCUUUGAAAUCAAACUUUUUAUGUUUAUUCAAAAAGUGAUAGUCUGAAUCUUUGGAAGAAAAAAAUCUCUUUUAAAGAGGAAAAAGUGCUAAGCAACUUUUUAAGUGUUCAACUGAUGAAAUUGAAAAAGUGAGGGUAACUAGGUGCUGGAGGAAGGAAAUACUUAAGAGACUAUGAAAGUGACAAUUCAACAGAAAUAUUAUCAAUUAGAAAACCAUGCACCACCUUGAACUGCUCAUGAAAAAUGCACACAUCCAACUCAAAAUCAAUUUGCAAUAACUACGGAGCCCUAUUAACUACCCAAUGGCAAUUUCGGCAUCUUGAAGUUUUUAACGUGCAAUUGCUGACGGAGGGAGUAAACUGAGAAAAAACAAACAUUGUGGGGUAAAGUGAGAAAUGACCUAUACUUAAAGGGGAUAAAGUGCGAUUAACCCUAAUAUAUAUCUAUAGUUAUCUGUCUAACCGUGAUCAUAUGGUAAUAUAUUAGGUGUCAUAUAUUAGGCUGUCAUGGCUACAGUUACAUUCUUGGCUAAAAAGAUAGAACGAAGAAGAAAGAAAUGCGAUAUAAAAUUUUUCCUUUUUCCCUUGCGAUUUUUUUAUUUUGCCCUUAAAGUUUGCAAGACAUAUGCACUUUUCGGCCCAUUUGUUAAGUGAGUUUUUUAGGUGUUUAUCUAAAAUUUUACUAUAACAUACUGUAGAAGUUUUUUAAAAAAUAUUUGAAGUGUAUUUUUUUUUUGAAUAUUUUGAAGUGUAUAAUUUAAAAACUUUGAGAAGUUUUUUGAAGUUACUGUAGUUAAAGUUUUUAAAAAACUUGUAACAAAUAAACUUGGUAAAAAACUUAUCUGCCAAAUAAGUUCAAUUGUGAGAGAUCAUCAUUUCAUAUCACGUGUGAGGACUAUAAAAGGUACAAAAUCAAUAUGUAAGAAGCGAAAGUUAUGGUUUUAUAUAGGAUUAAUUAUAAUUAAUUCCUUAAAUUAUAUUCCAUUUCUCACUUUACCUCAUAAUCUUUAAAUUCUAUCACUUGUGUUCCUAUAGGAUAAAAAUAUUCUUUCAUUAUUUUGACUUUUUAUUUAUCUUUUGUCCCCCUUUUCCCUUCAUUUAUUUCUUUUUCUCUUUGUUCUUUCUUCUCUCUUUCAUCCCUCUAAACAAAAAACUUCAUUUUAACAGAAAAAUUUAUCUAAAGUUUGUAAUUAGGUUUUUUGGAACAGAAAAUUUUAUCUGAAGUUUGUAAUUAAAUUUUUGGGAUGAAGGUUUGAAAGGCAUUAAAAGCUAAUUUUGAUUUUUAUAUUAUGUCAUAUGUUGUAAAUUACAAUCAAUGAUCGUUAAUCAAGUUAUAGAUUCAUCUUGUGAUCUUCUCUUGAUAAUAAAAUGAAAAAUUGGAAUAGGAAGGGGAAAAAGUAGAAGAAUUGCACGGUCAAAAAAUGGUAUUUCAGGGAAGGGGUUUGAAUAUUUUUGUAAUCAUUUGAGAAAAACACAAAUCUCUGUAACCUAUGUUUUUUAGUUUCAAUCAUGGAGAUGAAAUUCCUUAUAAGAAAGAGGAAGAAGUAAACAAAAAAGAAAGAGACAAGAAAAUAAAGGAGAAAUGAAGGGAAAAGAAAAUAAAUACAAAAGAGAGAAAAAAAUUAGAAUGAUAGAGGACUAAUUUUAUCCGACAGGGGAUAAAAUGAGAUAAAAAAAAUUAAAGAAUAAAUUGAAAAAUGAAGUUUACUAAUUGUAAUUAACUCUUUUAUACAUAUGAUGAGAGGCGUAAAAGGGAUCAAGCUAAUAUGUAUUGGAGUAUUUAUAUAUGAUUUUCACUUUUUAACUUAUCCGAUAAAGUAUUACCUGGUUGGAUGGAAUUCGAGCGUCUAACAAAUGGAGGACAGUGCCGUAAGAAAAGUCGCAAUUAAUCCGCCUGAGGUCCGACCUUUUCUUUUUCUCUUUAGUUUUAUUAUUCCCGUGCCCUCCACACACGCCCGCUCGGUGCCUCGCUGCAAAUCCAGCGAGGCCACCAUUGAUAUCCCAAACUUGUAUACUCCAUAGUUUAUUUCUUUAUAUAGAUAUAUAUAUAUAUGAUGCAUAAUUAAGAUGUACUACAAUAAAGCAUACAAGUAGAUGAUAGAGUAUAUUUGUGUAGCUCUAAUCAACCAAAACAUAACUUCAAUUACUGUGUCUGCAGUAGCCCCGUAUUCUUUACUAGAUCCCAUCUUCAAUUUUUCUCCCUGCAUCAUAAAUAUACCCAAACACCCACACGUUGAAGUAUAGAAGAUUACGCGGUUAUAUGCAUGUAUAAAUAUAGAUUUAUUAAUUGUUCUUGGUAGCUUCAAUUAUUAGAAAAAUAGGGCUCUUUAGUCUAUGUGUAAUUGCAUUUGUCGGGUGACCAUUGUUUUCCGACGUUAGGGUUAGGGUUUCAUUAAUCCAACCUGAUAGUUUAUCCCGUCUCUCUGUGUGUGUGGGGGGACUCUUUUUUUUCUUCUUUUUUUCUUUGCUUUAUUAUUAUUAUUUUUUUUUUUUGGGCUGUGGUUCUUGUUUAUUAGCAUUUUUUUCCCUUGGGUUAAAUGGCUAAAUGCGGUUUUGUUUUAAUUGAUUUUAUAAUUUGUUUUUAUUGUUUUUGUUUUUAUGAUUUUUUGUGCAGUGGACAGAUUGGGUGCUGUGAAGAAUAAAACAUUGCAACUCCUUAACAUCACUUUACUGGGAAAGCCUUUUUUCCUUUUUAACUGGGAAAACAUGAGCUUAACGUUGAGUCAAAUCGAAUAUUUAAUGGGCUGAACUGCAUUACAUUAAUUAUGUAUUUUCUGGGAUAUGUUUCCUUCCUAGGUUGAGAUCUGUUGUAUACGAGGUGAACCCAAAACACUGCUGGGCUAUGACAAUGCUGGGUAUAUUUUUUUCUAUAAUUUCAGGGUUGGAUUUAGGAGAUAGUAUAUAAGUCCGACAACGUCUUGGUCGACGAGACUAAGAUGACUGGAAAAUUGUCGGCCAGGAGGGAGGGAAGAAACAGCAACAGUGAAGAUUCUUUACGGGAAGCUGGCAAGGUUAUGAAAGAAAGCUCAGUUUUCGGACAAUACUCGGAUGCAGAAUUGGUAGCUCAGCUGAAAGGACUGGCUCUGGAUCCUUGUAAUUCAGAAUAUUCACAGAGCAAAAUUCGACCCUUGUGGAAUCAGACUAUUAGAGUGCGCAAGGCUAUGGCUAUGGCUGGUACGGAAUUUCCUCGGGUGAGAUUUGAACUCUGCUACUUUUUCAAGAAUAUUUCCUCGAUACCUUUUUGUUUGUGCGGUUUUGUACAAUUGGAAAGUUGGUUGACAACUUUUUUCUUCACAUAACUGUUCCUCCGAAAUCUUUUUUCAUAACCGUGUCUCUAACCCAAACGAUGAUGGUUUGCCAAUGGCGAAGGGGCCACAGGGGAACCUAAUUCUGUAAAGAGAAAGACGAGCCGUCAUUUUAUAAGAUGACUUUGGCACUUCUAACUGGACCCUUCAUCCACUCUUAUUAUUCCUUUUGGUCUCUCGGGUCGUUAACGAUCUUUAGCCCAUUCUUCUAAGUUUCUCAUAGCCUAACUCUUUUGUUAAGGAACAAAGUACUGUAAAUGCUUUUAUCAUAUUGCUACCAGUAUAGUUACUUGUGUUAAUUCCUCUCUAUACUCUCUUGUUGCUGUAACUGAUUGCGUGUCGAAGGAUUUGUUGCACAUGGAGCCAUCAGCAAAAGUUAUUUUUGCCUGUGCCUACGAGGAUUGAUUUCAGAAAAUGCUAAAGUUAUGGCCUGAAAAAUGAAUCUUUUGGCACGGUUUCAUUAAUAAAAUUUAGGUGCAAUUUUCUAUUCAUGCAAGCAACAAUAUAUUGGUUUAGUAAUAAACUAUAUAUUGAACAGGGUUUUUUGUGUUAUACAAGAACAAAAUAAAAUUUCUCUUAAAAAGUGUGAGGUUAAUUCUUUUUGUCCCUCCCUUAUGAAGAAUAUCUGUUUGAAUAGAGGUGGGAAAGUGAAGUAAAAGAAAAUGAAAGUUGUUUUCCAGUUUACGCUUGGUUGUCAAGAAAAAGUUUGAGGGAAGAUGGGAAGUUAGUGACAGUUAUUGGCAGUUAUAUAAUUUUUGUAUCUAACCAACCUUUUUACUUCAAAAUCCUACAAAUUUUGCAGGACACAAAAUGUAGGAAAGUGAAGGAAAAUGAAAGAAAAUUUUUCAACUUUCAUGUUAACCAAACAUGCAUGAAGGAAGUAACUAACUUUUCCACACUUUUCCUUGCAAACAAACACAAUGUUUAUGGUUUCUUGAAGGUGCUUUUCUAUUUCUAUUGCUUUCUCCAAUUUAAGAUUGUAAGGUUAUAACCUUUUUUUCUUUUUCGCUGAUUGACUUCACAUGUUUUUGUUUGCAUAAAGGCAAAAGUUUUCCGAUACCUGGUCCAAACAAUAGAAAUAUACUUUGUAGAGUCUUCAAUAGUUUUUAGAAUCAUUAGUUCUGUCUUAAGGUGUUUACAUUUUGUUUCACGAUUUGAUUUCACAAAAUCUUGGGGGUGUCUUACUGCCAUUAUAAGCUGCUUUGUUAAUGCAACUUCACAUGAAAUUCUCUAUCCAUAUUUACAGUACAGGAUGCUAUUGGUAAGUGUUAUGCAAUCGCUGCAAGACUUUUUAGUUGUUGGGAGAAUGUGGUUUGAAGAAAACUUUUGCAUUAGUGUGUUGAUUAUAAACUAAUGCCUUUUCACGUGUCAGAAAUUUGGUUUUAAUUUGGAUUUCUGUGAAUUUUAUUACUACAAUAUGCCCAGUGACCUUUUUUUUUUUUGGUGUUGGUGUGUGGGGGGGGGGGGGGGGGAGUGGGGCUGUGGUUGGUGUGUGAUGGUACUUUUUAUAUGAGAUAACCUUCAUCCCUUAAUACAGCAGAGAUUGCUGUAAGAUGGUCACACUUACUGACAAAGCAUUGUGUUUUUUUCCCAAAUUUGGGAAUUUGUAGAGUCUGCCCUUGUCAUUUUGGCAUAGGCCUUAGGUAGUACCUGCAUUCAUGACUGUAAUGCCAACUUGGCUUUUUUUAACAUCUAUUUUAGAUUUUGCUCAAAAUUAUAUUGGUUUAUCCCUUCAUCUUCUGACUUGUGAGAUGGAGAAUGCCCCAAUUUACACUGCUGUGGUCUCAGUGCACUGUAUAAAGGAUUCAUUUAUUGAGAUGGCUAUGAAAUAUGUAGCUGCCACACAACCUUUGAAGUCUAGCUAUUAAACGCCUUCACUUAAAGUGCAAAGCUGGCCUAGGUUCCUGCUAUUAUAACAGGAAUCCCCUUCAAUCUAUCUAGCAGAGCUUCUAAAGUAGAAGGAUUUGCUAUUUUAAGGCAUCCUUUUUAAAUUUAUUUCAUGAGCUAUUGGACAUAAGUCAAAUUUCCAAGUUGUUUCUUGCAUUGAUCCUUAAAAUGGAUCAGUUACUGUUGUAAUUUAAGUUUUGUUUUUUGGCUCCCCCCCGGGGGCCGCCCAGCGGGGUUAGGGGUGCAGGAGGAGAUUAUUAAUAUUUUAUAUAUGAGAUGAUACUUCUGAUUUAUGAGAUAAUGUCUUUUUAACUUCCUUUUCUGCCUUAAAGCAUGGACUAAUUUUAAUGAUUUUUACUUUGUACAUGUAGCUUGUUCAAGAGUUCCAAUAAGCUACCUAUUCUGAAAUUUGCCAAGGAUGAUAAACUUUUAAAUAGCAACAUGAAUGUAUUUCCCAUUCCCAAAGCAGUAGAAAACUUUAUCCAGGCAUAGAUUCUAUGACAUUUCAUUUUAUAAUUUGCUUGUGCAUGAUUAAGAUCCUUCACAAGUGAAGUUUCUUCUUUCAUAAUUUUCAGUACAUAUUCCUCUCUUUUAGGGUAGUUUCUUUAUUUGAUUUCACUGAUGGAAUUUAGCACCUAUCUACUCAUUUGCAGAGAAAGCGGAAACUGCAGCAGUUGUUAAAAGCUCUUCCUGGUUAUGGUUCAGAGUUAUCUAACCAACAAUGUUGGACAAAACUGAGCAGAGGGCAGGUCUCGCAUGCAUCUUCCGCUUCAUGCUUCUUGAGUUCAGUUGAAUCUGCUGAAAGUUUUGACCCAAAAGUUCUCUUGGAGUCAAAUAGUUCAAACAGUUUAUUGACCUUUGAGGAUGAUUUUCUGGAGAAGCAGAUAUAUUCAGAAUCUUCCUUAAUGUGUGAACCUAUAAACUGCAGUCCCUUUUGGAAGGAUGUGUUUUCUUUAGUCGAUUCUGAUGAAUCAGUGAAUUGUUCAAACCCAGCAAGUCCUGCAAACCUGACAUUCCUUGAAGUUCCUCCUCUGAAUAUGGAUGACAUUGGUCAGCGCUCAAAAUUAGGCGCUUUUGAUGAUCGCAAUCAAAAACAUCUUCAGCCAACUUGGCGAUCAAUUAGGUUGUUGAACUUCAUUGGCGACAAUCUUCAAAAAAUGGUUGUCCCUGUUGGGCCUCGAUUCCAGGCUGAGGUUCCAAAUUGGACUGGCCCUUGCUGUGAUGAAGAUUGUGAUUCUGAUAGCUCAAGGUGGUUGGGUACCCGAAUUUGGCCAAUUGAAGGCAGAGAAAUGAAAAUCACUACUCGAGUUGCUGGUAAAGGGAGACCUGAAUCUUGCUCUUGUUUGUCCCCUGCUUCGGUCGAGUGUGUUCGACGCCAUAUUCUCGAGGAAAGGCUACUCCUGCUAUGUGAUGCUGGUCCUGCAUUUUUCAGCUGGAAACUUGACGAGGCGGGGGAAGCAGUUUCAAAAUCAUGGACAUCAGAGGAACAGCGUGAUUUUGAAUUACUUGCUAAAACAAAAUUAAACUCAACUGGAAAGGACUUCUUGAAGCAUGCUUUGAAGUGCUUUCCCUCGAAAUCACGAAGAGCAAUUAUUAGUUAUUAUUUGAACGUUUUCAUUCCUCGACGGAUGAGCCUGCAGACGAGGUCGACUUUCAGCCAAGUCGACACUGAUGAGGAUGAGGUGGAAGACUCUAAUUACCUGGGAUUUCAGCGAAAAUCUGAAGGCAACGCUCCUAUCGGCGGUUGCAAAAACGUGAAAGCUCGAUUCCUGCGUCACCCUUCGUAGCCACUCCACUUUUAGCCUUCUGAAGUUACUAAAGAGUGGACGUAUGUGUAUAUUCAUGGAGCAGUUGGCUGCGCAACAACCUGAUGUUGCAACCCAACUUUUUGGGCUCCCUUUAUAUCCAGGCGAUCAGUAGAAUUUUCCAUGGGUUUGACAGAUAUCAGCACCUAAACUCCCCAAUUUAAUUUCCAUACAUAGGCCAACUUGACUAGUUGCUAGUUUUGGCAUAGAGUUGGCUUUUACAUGAGGAUCGAUUGUCACGAGUGCAGUAGUAGUUGAUCAUAUGAUUCUUCCGCAGGAACGUCCUGCAGUUGCAAAGUUGAAAAAAGACUUGAAAGUCCUACUAGAUUUGCUCCCAUUAUGUCCUUGAAUCAAAGAUGAGAUCAACUAAUUCCCUCGACUGUCAAAAGGAGGAGACAAUGGAUGAGUUUUUUAAAGUUUGUAUAACUAACUAGGCCUUCAAUGAUCAUAAUAAAUCAUAACCGGGAGUUUAGAUGGAUAAUGAGCCCCCGGAAUCGGUAAAAUGGCUAUCGAGAGCCCCAUGAAACCGAAACUGGAAUCCUUACCAUGACCUGUGAAACAGUACCGUCCAACUUUAUUGCCGGCCGUAAAAUAGCCCAAAGUUGAGAAAAUAACCUCGAUACUAAAGUUAUUCAUCUAUAGGGGAAGAAAAAAAAAUUUUGCUCAUCAAUCUUAUCCACAAUAAGCAAGACAGAAAGGAAUCUAAUGAGCACCUUUGCUCAAUCUUUUCCUUUUCUCUAUCCUGCUUGAAAGGUUUAGAGUUUUUACAAAACGAAAAUUAGGCAAAAUAGUCUGAUAAACGGUAUGAAUAUAACUCUAUUUAAGCAUUAGAAAUCCUACAUUCCUCGUUUUGUCACUGGUCUUGCGUGUUCCAACUUUUGUCAGAGCUCUAGUAAUCAAGCGGGGCAUCCAAAAGGAUUUUAAAAUUUUUAUGUAAACUAUUAUUGAUCGAGAGUACAAGCCCUGCACUUAUGGUUAAAAACAUACGUAGCGUGUGUUAUUGCACUGUUUCUGAUCAAGAUUGACAUUUCUUUCUGAGGAGUGAAAUCCCCUUCCGCUUAGCUAGGAAUGCACAAGCGUUGACGUUUGUAAAUUCAAAAGAAAAGGGGAAAAAAGGGUCAUCGACUUAACUCGGGAGGAGAAGUAUUUUGAUAAGAGGGGUAGAAGAGAGAGACCCAAAGGAAGAGAAAGGGUGGUCGGGGGUUGGGUUGGGGCUGUGGUUUGAUUGAUUAAAAGAAAAAUGAUAAAGAUAAAAAGAACAGAACAGAAGAGUGUUUCGUUUAAUGUUGUUGGUUUGGGGAUGGGUUGAGGUUGUUUCCAAAGUUAUUCAUGGUACAAAAUAAGAAGGAAAAAGAAAAUGAAAAUGGCUGUGAGCUAUAUAUGAUAUGGUAGUGUAAUUCACAAACGAGUGUGAGCCUGAGACGAUCGCGAAAUGCAGUGCUAGGAACAACAGGCAUGGGUCAUCCUGAAUUUGCAAUAAUAGCAGCAGUUGAAAAGAAAAGAUCUCUCGAACCAAGAAGAAGAAGCCAAUAGGCCGGCCGAAGGAGAGUGUGUGAAAUGUUGAGAACAGAACAUUAAAAUGGCGAAUGAUUUAUUUAUUUAGUUGCUGGCCCGCGUCCGGAAAAAAUACGUUGCCAUCAAAUUCAAUGCGGAAAGGACCUGAGAGUGAAAAAAAGAGAGCAGUAGCCACCAGACCGAAGAAGGCAGCAGCAGAAGGAGAGGAACUAGACAUUCCAUCGGAUAACGAGCCUCUCUCUUUUUCUUUUUCUUAUCUCGUUUCUUUUGCGACUUUUCUUUCUUUUCCUCCCAUCUCUCUCCUCUUUUCCUUUUCUUUAGCAGACGUAUGCCUUAUGCAGCACCCCCCACCGCCAUCACGGAUCAUGUUGGGAUGUUUUCAAUUGCCACUUUUUUUGACUUUUAAUGGCGAGUUUACACUCUGAUCGCGAGAGCUUUUCUCGACAGAAGAACAUGAUCAUGAUCUCAAUCGUAAGACGAUACUCUUUGCUCAUUACUUUUGCUCCCUCUGAUUUUGCGCUAAGCAGGAACAAAAUUCUCGGUUGAUUUUAGGCAAGUGAUAAUUGCUGGCUUUGAUUUUUGUUCCUCCUUUUUUCAUUGAUCUGAUUCUUAUUUUUGACUAGCACCCCUUUUUUUUUUUUUUAUCUUCUUUUAGGUCAAAAGCUUGUAGCUUUCCCUCACAAUUGGUGGGAUGGAUGGACUCCACCGUCGUCUUUCUAUUCCGGGAAAGGCCUAUCAAAGACAACUUUUACCAGUACAAAACUAUUACUUACUACUCUUUUUUUUUAUUACAUUUAUUCUAUCCUAUUCAAUACUAUGGGAGGAGGGGCCAGAAAAAAAUUGAGGGGCUGAACUACUUACCGGAUCAUACGAGUGUACAGUGCACUCGUCCGGUGGAAGUGACCUGCCACAUUUAGUGGCAAAUGGUACAGUACUAUUACUCACAACUCGAUUGUAGUACUUAAAUGUAAUGCAAGAACCAGCUAAAACCUUGCUCUGAGAGAGGGAGAAAAUGGGCCAUAAAAGUGUUACAGAUGUACAAGGCAUUUCCCGUUAAUGUAGAUGGAGAAUGAUAAUACUCAAAACAUCCCUCUUAGCUGCCUACUAUUUUGAUUAACAUAACAUUUUCAUCUGAAAGGUGUUUGUGAAGCUAAAAUAUCGUCAUGUAUUCAUGUCCCAUUUUAGACACAUCUUCACUUUUUGUUAACCUUUCUAUGGGAGGAAUUUUUAUGCAUGGGGUGUGUUACUAGGGGAGUGUUUGGAUACAAAUAUUAUUAUUAUUUGAGAUGAUAUUUGUUUUUUUCAAUAUUUUUUUGAUAAUUUUAAUCAUCUUUUUAAGCUCAAUUCACAUGUAUCACAUCAUAGAAUAUAUAUUAUACAGUACUAUAACAAUUAUUUUAAAUAAUACUCUAUCCUAUCUAAAUCAUAGAAUAUAUAUUAUACAGUACUAUAACAAUUAUUUCAAAUAAUACUCUAUCCUAUCUAAAUAAUGCUCGCAUCUUUAUAGCACUUUAUGAUCAACUUGCCUUCAAAGGAUAUCUUGAUUAAAAAUUAAUAGUGAGGUAUAAUCUCAAAGGGAAGUGUGAUAUUCACACCCCUAUUUCAACUUGCUCCACUCUAAUCCAUUCACUCCAUGGCACGAUAGCAAGGCGUGAGAAAAAUUAGUUUAAGAGUACAAAUAUCACUUCCCAUCUCAAGAAUUAUAAAGAGACUAGCACACCCUCGGCAUAUACAUGAAACAAAAAAAAAAAAAAAAAAAAUUUCCAGGAAACAGUUGCUCAUGCAGGAAGUGGAAUUACAGUCCUGGAAUAGUAGCAUCCCCUCAUCACAAUAGAGCCAUAAAGCAUAAACAAAUUUACAGCUUUGCUUUUCUGAAAUUUUCACCAAACAUGGAAACGAGUUUUUAUGCAUAGCAUCAAAAGUCCUUUACCGUAUAACUCUCCAACUCCAAAAUUCUCGUAUAGAACUCCUCCAACUAUUAGUGCAAUUAAGGAAUGCCUUUGCUAAAGAGAUCAAAGUAAGCAGAGAAUAUGCAACAUUAAGGUGGGUGGAUAUUUACAUCCUAAAGAACCCAAAAAAAAACAAAAAAAAAAAAAAGAAAGAGGAAUCAGCGCUAAAAUACUUGUAUAUCACAUUUUUCAACAAAUCCUCCAAUAUAUCCCCUCAUCAACUUGUAAUUGCAACUAAAACGCAUAUACCCCGCCCAACCCCAAAAACAAUUAAACAAACAUGUCAAAGGAUAACAGAAAUCAAGCGAAGAAGAGAUGCCUUGUGGACCCCCUCUCCCUCUGAUCCGCCUACAUGCCUGAUUCAACUAAGUAGUCUCUUUUCAACCAGUUUUGCCUUCCGAGUUCCUCAUAUGCUCUGUUCCUCAUAGCUAUUCACCACCUUCAUUCACCUUGACACCCUCUUACCACAGAUACAGGGAAGACUGGAGUGACGAUCUUCAGCCUUUAAGCAUGCCCAACUUCAUGUCCGCCCGCAACUUUGCUAUCAAGAAGAAUGCACCGACUUCCCUUAAACGCAGGACAAGGUUAAACCAGCCUUCCUGUAACAUAUUGGGAAAAAUCAAACAUACGUUAAGAGAGAGAGUGUGAGUGUGAGAAUUUAUCACGGCAUUAAAUAAAGUCCAAAACACACAUUCAUCAUGAUCCAUGUCCAUUGACAAGAAGUUAACUGCCUUGACACGAUACAUAAAAAGAUUUUAUAUUUUGGGUUGAUGUCCACUAUUUAUUGUUUUGAAUGGAGUAAGAAACAAAUAUUAAUUUGCCUUAGAAACCAAUUGCAAUGAUGAAAAACGCAACAGACAGUUCUAAGAUCCACAUACUACAGAAACACAGCAUAAGGAUUUAGAUUAAAUUAAUUAACCUUGUCCAAGUUGCAUGGACCCAGAAACCGGCUUCAGUAGUUUCCCAAAACAAGUAGAGUACAGGAUAUUGAAGUGCAAAUUAUUCAAGGACCUUUUAGAAAAGUUAUUCCCAAAACGAGCUGUUCCUCAAGCUCACUCUAGAUUUGGAGACCCGUCUAUGCAAAAGAAGACCUUCACUUACGUGAAGGGCCGAGUUUGUCUCUAAAGUGGUUAUUGAAGGUUGAACUUGGACCGGUGUUCUUGGUCUUUAUUCACAAGUUCCCUUUAUGUUUUCCUUGACCAGUUCUUGUUUAUCAAUUGAUGCCUUCAGCACAUUAACAUCACCCAACUUGGAAUACGCACAUUGAUUCAUUGUGUCUUCUUGGUAAUAUGCAAAGCACAAAGAUUUAAAUUAAGCAAAGAACAACUUGGAAAUUAGAAAAUGGACCACCAUGAGCUAUGAAAAUUCUCUGCUGAUCACCAUAUUUUUACGAAUUCCACAUCAACAAGGGAUGACUGAUAUAAUUUGUUCCAAUAUUGUGACGCUACAACACCCUAUAAGUGGUUUAAAAUUCACACAGAAUGAUUACUUCCUAACAAAAAAAUGCCCGAUGGGGUUGACCAAUCAGCAACCGUACAGAUAACAGUGAAAGGUGACCACUUGGGACCAGAACAAGCAUGACGAAGUAUGGACGUUAAGGGUAACAUUCAUGAUAAGGAAUUUCUAAAGACAGUAUCAGGAUAGAAUGCUCACUGGUAUAAAGUAUUCUGGACGCCAGAUUGUUAGAUUUAGCAUGACCAAGAUAAUUUAUAAUGCAGUAAUAAAGCCAAAAAUGAUGGACAACAUAAGUAGAGAUCAGACGACAAAACAAGAACAAGGAACCAAAGAAACAACUUCAGGACCUUAGUCUCAGUAUAGCCGAAGUACACUUCUUGCAAUUGUAUGAGAGCCAUUUUGCCUGUUCUUUGCCGGGGCACCUCUGCGGCUGCUGCUUCUCAGGGGCGUCAAGUAAAAGCGCAGGAGGCCAUGAUCCACAUUGUUCGGCGAAUAUCUGGCACUCCUAUUCCUCUCCAAGAUGAAGUCGUCUCUCCUCUUCUUGCCAUUUCCAUUCAUCUCCAUCCCCAAUCUCCUCACACUUCCAAAUGAUCCCCCAAUAUAACUUGAAUUCCUCCAGCUCACACUACUGUUACUCCGAAACACCUUUCUAUUGAUCCCAUCUUUCACUUCACCAUUACCCUCCCGCCUUAACUCCUGCCAAGACUCUGAAUAUGACCUUUCCACCCCAUUUGCUUUACUAUCCCUGUCAUCAUCCUCAUCCUUGUUUCCACCAUUUCUCCGGUGUAUAAAACCCCAUAUUUUCCAACUCCAUCUCCUUGAUUUCUUUGGCCCCUUUCCUUCUCCAUUCCCAACCACCGAAGCAUUAUCUCUCAGACUACGUAAUUCAAAAGCCUCGGAGUAGUCAUCCCUCAAAGAACUUGAGUUUGCAUCCUUGGAAUCCCUUUCGGCAACUAUAACCUUUGUCCCAUUCAUAUAGUCCAGAUUAGCAGGCAAUACCGUAGCAUUAGAAGCCCCCUUCAUCUCAUCGAUCUCCGCCACCACAUCAGCCGCAGUCUUCCUAAUAGAACUAGACCUAUCCAGGCUCUUCCUCCUCCUGGAAGAAGAAUCCGAAUAAUACUCCCUAGUCUGAGCAGACCCUCCCGGCACAGCCUCAUCGUCAUUAACGGGGCAAUUCAUCCCAAGGACAUUGGGCUCCUCCACCGGAAUCUGAGAAUCAGACCUCGAAACGUGAACAGCUGGGGCAUCUUCCACGACGGACAGCAUGGGUGGCAUCCUCGGAAAACUCCUCCCAAUCAAGUACCCGUCCCAAGAAGCCCGAGGCUCGUCGAACGAGUACCUGGGAUCAUCAAAGCUAAUCCUCCCGGCGUCAAGAGAGAACCGAGGAUCAGUAUCACAAGAACGCCGCCCAAACCCAUAAUCCGCAAUCUCGGACUGAGUCUCUCUGUACUGCCUGGAAAUGGGCUUCUCCACAGGCAAUGUAGCCGAUAACUCGCCGUUGCUUCGCUUCUUCAUCUUCUGCUUGCGCCUCCAGUUAUGCCAUUUCUUACUGAAAACUGAGGCAGCUGACCAGAAACUCCCCGCAAUUUCUCUCACUCCGCCUCCUCCAGAAGGCUUCUUCGCCUGAGAAUCGAGAUCUAUAUGAUCUUUCAUGGGCUUUAUGGUACUAAAAUCCACCACCUCUUCGUCUUCUUCUUCCACGAUCUCCAAAUUGAUGUCUCCUCUUUCUUCCACAACAGGAGCUUCCUGAAUUGCAGCUACAGGGGUGAUUUCAUCAGACCCGAUGUUGUUGUUAUUGUUGUUGUUGUUGUUGUUGUUGUUGCUGCUGCUGCUGCUGCUAUCGUAACUGCAUUCACUUUCGUCGUUUUGAGGCUCCUCCUCUCCUUCUCCUUCUUCUUUGGACUCAAAAACGGGUUUGUUCACAAAAUCAUCAUGGGUAUCUUUGGUGAGGAUGGAAUGUUGAGGAUUUAAAGAAGAGGAAGAGGUAGAGGGUUUGGCGGAGGUGGUGACUUUAGACUCGUUGUCGAGAGUGAAAAGGGACCAAAGCGUGUUGCGGACACGAACAUCGCAGGACUUGCGUUGAGGCUCGAAAGCGCCGGAGAAGCUCAAGCCUAGGCCCUCGUGCUUGGAGGCGGAGAAGGACUUGGUGCGGCGGAGCUCCGGGAAAAAUGAGGCUGGUUUGGAGGGUUUAGGAGGGGGCUGUGGCGGGGGGUUAGUAGUGGUGGUGGUAAAGGAGGUGGAGGGCUUGGAGGAAGAGGAGGAGAAGAGGGAUUUAAGGGCGGCGGCAGCGGAGGAAGAGGAGGUGGAAGGGCGGCGAGAAGAGGAAGAAGGAUUGGAAGAGGAUUGGUCGAGAGUGGUGAGGCGCUCGCAGAGGCAGGAGGGGCAGAAACCGGUAAAUUGUUCCUGAGGGUGGCGGUCACAGCUGAAGGAGGAACGCGGAGGCUGCGGCGGAGGAGGAGGCGGAGGUGCUGGGUCAGCAGCAGUGGGAUUCAUAACCGGUGGUGGUAGUGCGAAAUGCCGCCCAGUCUAGUGCUGCUCAUACUACUAUUUGUAACUGCUUACAUUCACAUAAAUUCGCUACAUCUAACUCUGGAAUUUAAGAGAACGUUUUUGGUUAGGAUUCUUGGGUCUGUGCGUGUAUUUGUGCGUGUGAAUGUGAUUUUGUGUGUUUUUCCCUUCCUUCUUUUCUUCCUUUUUUUUUUUUCUUUUCUAACGGCCAGUAGAGUAGAGCGAGGGAACGAGGAGUCUAGAGAGGAGACGGAGAGAAUUGAAGGGAGAGAGGUCAAAGGCCCAAAAACAAAACAAAACUCCCCCAAGGGAAAGGGAAAGGGAAAGGGAAAGGGAAAGGGAAAGGAGGACGACAGGACAGGACAGGACUCGACACUCGAGACUCUCUAAUUAAAUUAGGCUUCAACAGAAGAGAAGAGAGAGGACGAAAUUAAAGAAGAAGAAGAAUCAAAGGGAAAAUCUCACUCACUAAUUAGUAGGCUGCUUUUCUUUUCCUUUUCUUCACCCUUCUCUCUCUCUAACAAAUUCUACUUUUCCCUUAGGAUGCUUUUUCUUGGCUACGGACACUCCUCCAGCCGUGAAUAGACUUUCUUAUCCCUUUUGCUGCAUUCAAUGUGCAUUCCACCACUGUUCCUCUUUCACUCGCAUUUCAUUUGAGCAGUAGGCACAAGUGUCAAUGCCUGCGGCCCGCUCGGGAGGCUUCUUUUCUUGGACACAGGACCGUAUUAAUUACUUCCCCAUUCCACCGCCCACCAAAAUAGUACUACGUAUCAAUCCAUUUAUUUAUCCAAAGACAGAGAGAUUUGUAGUGCUAGACUGCUAGUACAUUUUGAUAGUCCAUUUAUUUUGUAAUAAUUAUUCCCUCAGUCCUGUUUUUCUUUUUCAUUUGUCUCAAAUUAUAAUUUACUUCUCAAUUAAAGAAUAUAAUUUUUUAAAAAUUUUUAAAAUAUAAACUACCUUAUUUAAUAUAAAUUAUUAUUGAAUAUAACCUAUCCCAUUUAAUAUAAAACGAUGAUUGAUUCUUUCUUGAUCAUCAAUUCAAAUUCCCAUAAACCAUUAAUUCAAGUUUCCAUGAAUGAUUAAUAUAAAGUUGUACUUUAUUUAAUGUAAGGGUGUUUUAGAAAAAUAACAAUCUAAAUUUAUUUUCUCAACAAAGUUAACUACUUUUUCUUAAAUUAUGUGAAAAAAAACUAUGACCAUCAAAAUAUGACAGAGAGAGUAAAUAAGAAGCGACUAAUAAUACUUCAUUAACAAGUAUUUAACUAUCGAGUUUUGACUCCGUGCCACCUAUUGGUCAGGAGGGUUUAAACCCCUUCUAUAAUGAAAAAAUUCAAAACAAGUGUCAGAACAUUUUUUUAAUCUAGUCGAAUCCAUAAACCUGUUAGUCCUUUAUACGUUCUCUUUAAACUCCUCCUCUUAAAAUAUGAUGAAUUAGAUUAUACAAAUGUUAUCGUUACAAAAACAUAUAUAUAAUAAUAAUUACCGGUAUUUAAAUGAAUGAAUUUGCCCAUUUGGACCGAAAAUUUUGGAAUCAAUACUUUUUAUAUAAGUAAGCCAAGCAAAAAUUUAGCCUAAAUAUGAUACCCGAUUUAAUUAAGAGUUAGCUCGAUUGAAGCCAACUUGUGAAAUUAAGUUAUAUAAUUACAUAUAUCAUGUAUAUAUAAAUAAUAAUGUGUUUAAUUUAAUAAUAAUAAUGUUAUAAUUUUUUCACAACAAAAUAUAAAUAUUAAACACAUAGUUAUUAUAUAUUGAUGGUAAAUUUGGACCAAGCUCAAAUUAAGCUCAAAGUCCCAAUGUAUAUGUGAGCCGAGCAUGACUAUUGUAAUGUGAGCUCGAAACCUUGUUUGGAUUGUAGCUUUUCAAAGAAAUUUUUUUUUUACCUUUUUUCGUGAAUACAUUUUUAUAUUAUAUGCAUCAAAUCAAUAUAGUCUACUUUUCUGUUAAAAUUUCAAAAAAUAACAAUCCAAAUGGGACAUAAAAAGCCCUAAUACUUUACCUUUUCAUUAGUUGAGUUCAAGCUUACUAAAAUUUGGCUCAUAUAACCCAAUUGACAACCCAAACAUUUGGUCAAUCUAAGUUAUAUUUAACUUAAAACACAUUCUUAUUGCCAUGUAGAUAUUUCCUCAAACUCACUUGUCAACCAAAAUAAUGCACACAUAAAAUCCCUCUUAAUGCGCAUUUCAUGGGCACCAGUCAACCAAACCCAUAAAGAUAAACCAUUCACGUAAUGACUUUUAGUUUGUUUGGAUACUGUAUUAUUUGAAAUAUUAUUUGGAAUAAUUACUGUAACAUUUUUUUUGAUGUGAUAUAUGUGAAAUAAAAAGUAGUUGGGAAUAUAAAAAGAUAGGUUGGGAAAUGUGUUUGUGAUGCAAGCGAAAUAUUAUUUGAGAUAAUUUUGAUAUAUAAACACUCCCUUUGUUAUUCGUGUGAUAAUAAAGCAUUUAUAUUUCGUUUUUGUGGAACUAAUCUUUUGCCUUAAACUGAAAGUUCUUCAAUAUUUACUGCUUAAAAUGUAUUAAGUUCAUUAUAUUGGUAUACUUUUUAAAGAAUGGUAGUCUUUUCAGCAAUUGCUUAAUGUAAUUCAAAACGGUUGGAAAUGGAGAAACGAAGUUGACUUUCACAAACAAUACGCAAACUGUAACGCCAUAAUUUGGUUUAACUGAGCGAGUGUGUUUAGAUAAUCAUGAUUUGGCAAAAAAAUUAUUUGCUCAUAUCACAAACAUAAUUUUAAAUUUUAUUUUUUUCAAUCACCAUUUUAUUUCACAUAUAUUAAAUCAUAAAAAGUACUACAAUAAUUAUUUCAUAUAAUCUCCUAUCCAAACACACUAGUGUUAACUACUCCUGUUUGGAUUUUUAUUUUAGCAAUUUUUUGUAAAAAAAUAUACUAUAAUAAUUUGAUACAUGUAAGGUAAAAAUAUCUUCAUAAAAAAAAGUUAAAAUUUUUCUGAAAAGACCAUGCAAAUAUCAUUCUCUCUAAAUCCAUAAAAAUAUACUUCCGUUUGGAUUACCUGUUUUUUGGGGUGUUUUUGAAAAAUUUUACUGUAGUAGAGUUUUUAGAGUAUAUUUUGAGAUAUUUUUAAAAAAUAUUUUAGAAUAUUUAAGAGUAAUAAAGUUUUUAAAAUAUUUUUUGAAAUAUUUUUUAAAUAUUAAAAAAAAUUUAGACUAUUUUUAGGAUACCUUUUAUACUACUUUUUUAAAAAUUUUAAUGUAUUUAAAAAACUCCUAGAUCCAAAGUGCGUAGACUGUUACCACCAUUGCUGCGUGACAAUUGAUUUUGCUUUUCUUUUUUCUCUUGGCGGGUACUCAGAGUCUUUUGCCAGUAGUAGUACCACUUUGGCGGAGCGCUCAAAUCAAAAGCAAACAACCUCUUUCACUUUAGUUCUGAAAUCUGAGGUAGCAAAUGUUUUUUUUUUCUUUUUUUUUUUUUGGGUCCAUCUUUUGUUUUUUGGGGGGUGCUUUCGAUUUUCAAAGAUUCCUGUCGAGGGAAAAAGCAAAAGUAAAUCACGCCAUCACUAAGACUGGGGAGAUGGAUGUCACUCUCCCUGCUUUCUCUUUCCAUUUGUGUUUAGAGAUGUCUCCCCUCCUCUGUUGUUUCUGUCACUCUCUCUCCCUCACAAAUCACAAUAAUCUCAUUUCGCUUUCUUUGCUUUUUAUCUUUUUUAUUUUUUUACCUUUUUAUUUUUUGGGUUUUUCUGGAGGCGUCUGCUUUCCUUUUUGUUUUUCAGGUUUCUUUUUUCGUCUCUUUUGUUAUUUUUCACCCAAAUUUUUGAGUUCCAUCAUUUGUGGGGUUUUCAUACGGAUUUACCAUCAUUUUGUGGGUACCGAUAUUCCACCACCUGCCUCUUUUCAGUUUUCACACAGUAGUGCCUCCCUGCGGGAACACGCUUCCAUUCCCACAGCUUGGCUUGGUUCGAUUAGGCAAAGACAAAUGGGAAUUUAGGAUUCUUCGGCUCAGCUCGGCUAAUGUUUCCAUUUUUAGGUUAUCCUCCGACCAACCAAAAAAACACCAAAAAAAAAAAGACAAAAUAUAUGUCCUCAUGGUGCACCUAGCGUGCGGGGGUGGGGCAUGAGCACUGGAUCCACAGUCCAACGACUUGACUCCUCACGGUUUUUACUACUAGGAAAAUUUUUAUCCUAGUGGCAUGGUAUCUAAAAGAAAAGCGAUGGAUAAAAUUAUGCCAAUUUGGGGCUUAAAAAUUCUAGAUAAAUAUUUUCUAAAGCUUUUGUAAAUAUAUAUAUAUAUAUAUAUUACAGCAAUCUGAUCUGAUGUAUAUAAAAUAAGAAAAAUAAUUAAAAAUUGUGAUCAAUAAAAAAUGUAAUAAUUUUUAUUUGAAAAGCUUCAAUCCAAACAAGGUCACUUUUUGAUGGUAAUUGAUGAAAAGAUUAAAAUUUCGAGUUGUCUAACUUCUUGGUAGAACGUCUCUUCUUCGCUUAGAAUACCAUACAUUAUUAUGAUUUCAAACAACGUCAAUCCCAUCAUCACAUACCACCAUAUCAUGGCUAUGGCCGAUUAACGGCUCUCAAACUUAGGGAAGAGAAAGGAAAUGCUCCCCCCCUCGCCCUCGAUUGCUGUUCCAAGUACAGGUAACUGGGGUGCAAGCUUCCAGCUCUGUCCACGGAAAGCAGGAGAUUUGAUGAGCUGAUCCAUCACCGCAAACGGUUAAAACAAACCGCUUUUUUGUACUCGAAUGAAUUAUUGGAUGGGCUCAAGUAAAAGUCGGGGUAAAAUGCUCUUCCUACCUAUCAAGUUGUUGGCGAAAGUUUGGGUGAAAAACAAACAAAGGAUGGUUCAAAGUUCAAAAAUUAUAGUAAAGAGUGAAAAAACAAGGGAAAAGGAAUAAUGAAGAGAAGUGGGAGGGGUUGGUCCAAACUGUGUCUCCUGGGGAGUCGCUAAGAAAAGGAUAUGACUAUGGUCCCGAGUCCUGCCAAUCCCAACAUUACAUCCCCCUCCUGCAUGCAUGCCUCAAAUCGGCCUCAUGACCAAGAAAGUAAAGCGACAAUUUAAUGGAUCAAACACCACAGGUCACGUAUUUUACCUCCUUGUACAUUUUCUGAGCUAUUCCAUGCCCUCAUAUAAGCCCCUGGAGUUUGUCCACCGCUCCAGCCAGUAGUUUGGAUUGGAGGUGGCGUCUUCCUCUUUUACUUCCCGUGUGAUCCUUUUGGGUUCUUUUCCUUCCUCCAUAGUAGAGGUGUUAAAAUGGAUGAUUUGAGCGGAUUUGGAUUGGAUAAAAUGGAUAAUAGAUAUAAAUGAGUCAAUCAUUUAUACUCAUUUAAUUAGAUGGGUAUAAAUGGGUAAGUCAAAAAAUGAAUUGGGUAACCCAAUUAUUCAUUUAUAACCCAUUUAUUUUAAAUUUUUGUAAAUUCAUUUUUGUUAACUAAGUUAUCAAUUUAUACCAUUCUUUACACCCAUCAUUAAUUUUAAAUAUUUACUUAUAAUGCUCAAUAAACCUAAUUAUCAAAUUUUUUUCCAUCUGUACUCUAUGUCGCAAAAUUACAUACUAUUUAAUAAUUAAACAAUAAGAAUAUAAAAAUUUGAACUAAGUACUAUAAAAAUUAACAUAAAAGUUUAAUCCAAAAAUUUUGAACCUCUAGUAUUUCUUCGUGUGUAAAUUUAAAUUUUCAUUUUGGAAAAGUAUGAAAAAAAGCUAAAACUUGUCAUAAAUUGGUAAUGCUAAAAAAUGAGUAAGUUAACAAACUAAAAGAAAAUAAAAUGAUAAGAUAAAAUCAACAAAUAGUAAUAAUAAUAAUAAUAAUAAUGAAACAAAAGUAGUUAACAUUAUGACAAAAUAAAAAAUUUGAAAAAAAAAAUGGGAGGGGGGGAAGAGAGGAGGUUUGGGGGAAGACAAUUUUAAAUGGGUUAAUUGGGUUUGAUGGGUUACCCAAUGAUAUCUAUUUAAUAAAUAGGUAUUAUUGAGUAAUUCAUUUAUACUCAUAUGCAAAAAUUUAAGAUACCCAUACUCAUCUAUUCAUGGGCAGGUAUGGAUAAAUUUAGUUAAAUGGGUUUGUUUGACAGCUAUACUCCAUAGUGGAGGAGUAUUUAAAAAAAAAAAAAAAAAAACCCUACUGCAUUCCCCUAGCAUAUAAGCCAACAUGAAAGUGAUAAUAUCGAAAAGGAGAAUACAUAGUUAUAUAUAUACUUGUAUGUCCAUUUAGAUUAAAAAUAAUUGGAAAAAAAGUUUUGAAAGUACUAUUCUUUGACACUUUUUUGUACUAUAACACCGUAAGUGUUAGAGUGCUACAGAAGUAACACUUGGGCUCCCAACCUCUUUAAUUUACCGUAGGCUCGUGGCGGUGGCUAGUCAUUUAAUUGGUAUUUAGCAAAAGAAAAAUUGUCAAAUUGGUCCAUCAUAUUUUUAGAAAAUUUUUUCCGGUUCCUCACAUUUAAAAUCAGCAAAAAUUAUUUCUCAUAAAUAAAAAUUUUGCGCAUUUAGUUCGAAAACUCAUUUUUGCAUAGUGUUGUCGGCCAAAAAAUGCACGACUAUCUCAUGUACUCAUAAUUUUAAGAGCAAAAUGGAAACAAAAUUCAUUUCCUUUCAUCAAAAUUUUUUUUUUUAAAAAAGGACCUCCCAUUUCCCUCAAUUUUUAUCCACCAAACCCUAUUAAACCCAAUUUACCAACAACAAAACUUUAAGCAAGUUGUAGUCUUACCCUAAUAUUACAUAGCACACGCAACAAUCACAGCAUUACGUUAUUUAGAUAAAACUUUAUCGUGUGUGAUAAUUCAUUGGUACUUCUCGAUCAUUGUUACCCUUUUUCAAUUUGAUCCCUGUGACAUUUUCAUCAUAACCUUUUAUGAAGGUGCAUUUGCCAAAGUUUUGUUAUUGGGAUUUGGGGUUUGGUUAUUUUUAAUUAGAAAUAGGCUUAUUGAGAUUGAAAAUGGAGAGAGGGGUUGGAAUUUUUUUUUUUUGGGUGAAGAGUAAUGAAUUUUAUUUCUAUUUUGUCUUAACAAUACAUUUUGUUUGGCAGAAAAAUUAAGAAAAAAAAAAAAAGCUUUGGGAUCAAACGGUCAAAAUUUUAUAUAUGAAAGACUAUUUUGAUUGAUUUUAAAUAUGAGCGGCUAAAAAAAGUUUUUUCCGAGAAUGUGAGAGACCGUAUUGGUAAUUUUCGCUUCCCGGUUCCCGUACCCAAAUCCAAAUUCACCCCUCCAAAUCUCAUCUCCAUGGCUUCUUCAAUACCGCGUCAUGGGCUUCUUGAAAGGCGGAGGCGGAUGGCAGUCCGUACUAAAUACUGCUCCUGCUCCAUGGUGAUUACUAACUACCAUAUAGUAACUACUACUACGACUACAUGAGAUGAGUUGAGUUGAGUGCCACUCGUGUCUGCUGCGUAUGGUUUACGUUAUCUAACAACAUCUUUCUCAGGUCAGGGGAAAAGGCCAGGGUACACCCACUUCCCCGCCCGCCUGAGACCUGCACUUUACCUACGCUGCCAUGUGUGCGUGCGUGCGUGCGGGUGUCCAGUACUGUCUCGUCCUGUCAUGAAUGUGUUCGUUCAUGGAGGAAUAGGAAUAGACUUUAGACCGCAUAGCCUCUCUAGCGCCUUAGAUUCUUUGUAUUUGUGUGUAUAUAUAUAUAUAUAUAUAACUCACCGUUAGCUACUUUGUAAAAUUAUAAUCUCUACUAAACAGAAACCGAUAUCAUUACAUGAGAUCAUUACGAACAAUUCAAUAAAAAUAUCUCAAAUAACUUACAAUCCAAACAAACCUAAUUUUCGCGGUUGUUGUUACGAAGUUGUACAAAGUUAAUUAACCGUGUGAGUUACAAAAUUCUGUCUUGAGCAUACGGAAAAAAUGAGGGUUGGAACCUGAGUGCGGGAUGGAUUAAUGAAAUGAUGGGCCUUGCCUUGAGCACACAGUGGGAGGAAAGGUGAUACGAGCCUGGAACUGGAAGGAGAGUUUUGAGACUUGAGACGAGACCCACCCGCCGCUGAUUCACGAGAUAGAUGAGCUCGCCGGCUUCUUCCGGUCCUCCUCGCUGCUCGGUCGUCUUGGAUUUCGUCGGGGCCCACAUUCUUUCGGUUAAAAAUCACGCGGGCCCAUUAACUCUCAUUUAUUCACAUGGCGUGCGACAGUCAGCGAGAGAGAGAGAGAGAAAAAGAGAGAAAGCAACCAUAGCUGCUGGAUGCUGCGUGGUGGUGUGUUGGUGGGGGCACCAGGGUGGAAAUUAUCAUUCAAUGACAUGUACUACCCCUAAUGACCAAACUACCACUGUAGUAAUGCUUGUCGCACAUGAUUAAUUACAUGGGUGUCUUUUGGUUAAGACAUUAUUGGAAAUGAUUAACGUAGCACUUUUUUUUUUAUGUUGUGAGUGAUGAAGCAUAUAAAAUAAAAAAAUAAUUGAAAAAAUAAAAAGUGUGUUAAAAAAUAUGUUUGUAAUGCACAUAAGCAAAUUUUUUUUUUGCCAAAAAAAAAUACAAUUCAAACACGCUCAAAUGGCUAAAUUUUUUUAAGUAAUAUUUCGUUUGCAUCAUAAACACAUUUUUUAAAUCAAUUAUUUUAUAUUUUUAAUUACCAUUUUAUCUCACAUACAUCACAUCAUAAAAAGUAUUACAGUAAUUAUUUCAAAUAAUACACAUUGCUUAGGCUCUAGAUUCACGUCUGAACCUGCGCGGCUGUGUUUUUCCGCUGUCUUUCCUCAUUUGAAAAUUUAUUAAAAAAAUGUAUAUUCACACGCACGCCCCCGCAUACAUAUAAUCAGAGGACACAUCUUCUACAAUUUUAUUAGCAUAGAAAUUUCAUUUGAAAUAUAUAUUUUAAAAAAAAUAUUACAGAGCAAUGUAGUAUGUAUCUGAGGACGGGACAAUGAGGCGUAAAAGUGAUCCCCUGUCUUCAAUCCUUCCCUUUUCCUUCGCACAUCCUUGUUCAUGGCGUCGCCAAUAUAAACAAAGCAUCCACAUUUGUCUCUCUCUAUCUCUUAUGCUCUCCAUGGGGCAUCUGAAGUGGGAUUUUGUCUUUCCAUGUUUGCUUGUUUGUUGUGUUAACCAUUUUUCUUUUUGACAAAAACUUUUGUUAUCCAAUUCAAUCCCACCUCCAUGUUACACGUCAUGUCAUCAUCUUGCCUAGUUGGACUGGGGGUGUCAAAGGUUCUUUUUCUCGUCUCAAUUCGUAAAGCGCUUACAUCACACAAUUGAUGACAGAGUCUGGUGUGUUUGGAUUGCCUUCUAUUUCACUUUAUUUAAACCUUCUUAUUUAUAUAUACUGAUUUACUUGAAUCAUCAAUAUAUUUUUUAAUUAUCUUUUUUAUCUCACAUACAUCAUGUCAAAAAAGUGCUACAGUACUUUUUUCACAAAAUUAUCUCAAAUAAUUUACAAUCCAAACACACUAAUUUUCAAUAAUUAUUAGUUCUAUCGUUGUACGUUGAUGCCUUAGGCUCUGUUUGAAUUAGCAGUUUUUUAGGGUGUUUUUAAAAGUUUAUUGUAACAGAGUUUUUAGAGUAUAUUUUGGAAUAUUUAAGAGUAGCAGAGUUUUUAGAAUAUAGUUUGUGAUAUUUUUUAAAUAUUAAAAAAAUUAAGACUACUUUUUAAAGUACUUUUUAUAAUUUUUUAUAGUAUUUAAAAAACUAAUUUUUAAAAAACUCAAUGAUCUAAACAGAGCCUUAUAUUUGUUAUUUUAGCAUCUAUACUUACUAUUUUAGUGUGCAUAAUAUGCGGUGGCAACAAAAUUGGAAAUGGCAGAUAUCCGAAUCUAUCAUAAGAAAACAAGGGCAAGGGGAUGAACAGACGGGGGCGGACAUAGGAAAGAUGGGCAAUGGCAGCCGCCUCCUAAAUGUUUUUAAAAUCUUUCCUAUAAUUUUAGUUGUCAAAUUAGAAUUAUAUUACUUUGAUUCCUCCUAAGCAUAAUUAUCAGUGGUUCUUUAUGUUGUUUUGUAUAAUUUCUUUUUGAUAAAGUGUCCUAUACCAAAUUAACAAGUAGUUUCCCUACAAAAGUUUCUAUUAGUAUCUACUUUACCAUACAAUCAGCACUACUUUUGAAUAACAAUUAUGAAAACAUUAAGUUGUCUUUUAAUCAAAUUUCUUGUAACAAACCAACUAUUAAUUGAUUUAAUUAUUAUAACUUUAAAAAGCAACUAAGGUAACACGGUAUAUGUUACAUAAUUUUAAAUGAUUAUGUAUAUAUAUGAUACAAAUUAAAAAAUUUUAACCAUUAUUUUGAAUGCCUCAUAUUGUUAGUAAAUAGAAUGGUGCAGUUUAAUUUCACCAUUUUUUUUGUAUAUAUUUUUCUUUAUUUUUAAAUUUUUCUUAUCCGCAAUUUUAAUCUAUUGAAUUUUUAUUUUACAUUUAAUAUGCUUUUAUUUGUUAUAGAACUUAUUUUUUUCCUAUUAUAUCUUUGAUGAUACUUCCUCCUAAACUAGAAUUUUUGGGUCUAAGCAGAACUCGUACUAUCAAAAUUCUCAAAACAAAAUUAAUAUGUUUGUGACAUAAGCAAAGUAAGUAACAUUUUUGGGAUAAUUUUGCUCUUUUAAGAAAUUCACUUGUCUUCAGCUUGGUCGUGGGACCCAGACAAAUGUGAUAUUCGAUUCUGGCAGUCUAUCUUUGUCUGCCUUUCACUAAAUUAUAGUGCUAAAGUUGAGACAAAGAAAAGGAGAGAGAAACUAUAUGCAAUGCUUUAUUUACAUACACUAAUUUAUUUGCAUCAUCAACACAUUUUUCAAUCACCUUUUUAUCUCACAUACAUCAUAUGAAAAAAGUGCUACAGUUCUUUUUUUUUUCCCACAAAAUUAUCUCAAAAAAUUUACAAUCCAAACAAAUGGAUGUUUUUAACAACGUACAUGCAUCAUGCAUGGGGGAAAAUUGCAGUUUUAAUUGUUAAUGGAUGUUUGUUAUCAACGUACACAAGUCAAAGAAAAACUUUUGUAGGUUAAAGUUUCAAAAGGGAUCUUUCUGUGUUCAUUGGAGCGUAUAGCGCAUUGGCAUUAGACAUGGUAUCACUCAAACAGUCUCAGGUCCGCUGCACCGUUUUAAGGGAUUGGUUUGGCAAUAGGCAUUCGGGGCCUAAGUGUUAAAUUUUGAAAAUUUGUAGUUAAUUUGAAAAAGUAUUUAAAUGUAAGAGGUGUUAUAAUUGUAUUUACACAUUAAAAAAUAAAAAUAAAAAGGCUUAUUAAAUUCUUUCAAUUCAGACAAGAACUUGGAAAGAAUCAUUGGAAGGUAAAAUAAGAGUUUAUGGUUUAUGAUUACUCUUUACAUAUAUACUUCUUCGAAUUUUUGAUUAAUCAUCGAUCAAAUCAGUAAAAAGCAUCAUUUUUCCACGUUUGCAAUGGUAUGGUAUAAGAAGCAUAGGAAAAGGGGGAAGAAAAAGAAAAAGAAAAAGAAGGAACAAUAGACGUCUAGUUUUGGCAUAAACGAAAAGAUAAAACGUCCUCGAAUUUUGCAAUUGAAAGUUAAGCCCUUGCUCUUGGAUUGCUGUUUUCCGUAGAAAAAUUUCGUCAUUUUUCGUGAACACAUUUGUUUAUUACAUUUUUUUCUCACAUACAUCAAAUCGCUACAGUAAUAUUUCCAUGAAAAAUGACGGAAAAUGCAAUCCAAACGGACCUAAGUUUUUGAUGUCUUAACUUAAACCAAACUAUAAUUGAUUGCGAAUUGCGAUGGAUGCAAGUGCCUUAGAAUCAAUUAAGGGAUCAACCGCACGCACGCGUGAAGGAAAGAUUCCACAAAUUACGCUGCUGCCCAAUAAUGCUGUCUUAUUAUGACUUGCUAAAUAAUCAUGAGCCAUAAUUACAUACGGGAAAUAUUCCUAGUUUACAAGGUCCUCAGGGUACACACACAAGAAGCCCAAUUUUAAAGCUUUCUUAUUUGUCAAAAAAAAAAAAAAGAGUGAAAACCAGAACAAAAUGGUCUGUAGACGGUAGCGUCCCGACAGCUUUUUCUCGAUGUCCUGGCGAUCGAUCUCCUUGUACAAAAGAAGACUCGAAAAAGAAAAGAUGAUAAUAGAUGGCAAAAAGGAGCAGCCAAAUGGAAUUUGGUAUAAAGCGCAGCGCCGCGCCGCGCCUCGCCUGUUUGUUGAAUUAUUCUGCAGGCCUGCAACCUAAGUAAGUAAGGCCAAGGUCGAAGCAGGAUUCAUGAACCAUUGAUGCUAAAGAGUUCUUUAAGGUAAUCAUGCACCGUGUUAAUUGUACAUGGCGGACGACAAAUUUUUUAUUUAUGUUGACAACGAUGCUGCUGCUAGCCCUCUGUCAUAUGAAUGAAACUGCUCUGCUGUUUGUAGACUAUAUAUAUAUAUGUAUCCCUUCGGAAAUGAUACAUAAUAGCUUCUCACAUAAAUAACCUGUUCCUUAUCUGCACAGUUAAUGAUACGCGUCUUUGAGGGAAUCCCAAGAAAGGAUUUAAAGUUUGGCAUGUUACUAAAGCCAGACAAAAGGCACAAAAAGAAACACACAAAUGGGUAAAUUCCUAGGCAUACCUUCUUAGGGAUUUCAUGAUAUUCCCUAGCUAGCGGAUCAUAAAUUUUUGGAGUGUAAACAUGAUUCACUGACAUGCUUUUGAUUUAAAAAAAAAAAAAGGGCUUUUUCUGCAGUUAUAAAUGUAUCACCUAGCGCAUCUAAAUCAUCAGCCUGAGCUUAUAGUUUUCAAAAAGCGGAGAGAGCAGGAGAAGCAGAGGGGGUCAUUUGCUUUCCUUUUUCCUUUUUCUUUUUCAAGCUAAAGUGAGACCAAUGGGUUGUAAAGGAUGUCUGUGAGAUAAAAGCAAGCAAGUCUUUACUUGCACUCGAGACCUGAUCUUCAAUUUUCUAUCCAGAUGGAGCCCAAUUCAGUGAAAUUGAUCGCUGGAAAAUCAUCUCAAUGAUCGAAACACAAACACAGCUCCCCCUCCCCCUCCCCCUCCGGUGCGCAGCUGUGGACAAAUCGCAUUCAAACGCGGGUUCGUUAUACCCACGGGCUCCCAAAAGCCCACAUCAUGGUGCUACAAUAACAAUAACGCUGAGGAUUGAUCAGACUUCAUGGAAAGAUGGCUGAGAUGAUCAUUCAUGACCAGUACUUGCUUUCUCCCAAUUGAAUAUACGUAACACUCGAGCAUCAAUUCAAACCCAAGAAGCGUCUGACCACGAAAGAAACCUUCCGCGCAAGAAACCGUCCCAAGUGACCUUUCCUUGCUGAUGACUGAUGACCCCCCCCCCCCCUCCCUACGAUAAAAUUGUGAAAACAGCACAACUACGAUAAAAUUGUGAGUACCUAAAAAGAGGCCAGAGGAAAGUAACUAAUUUCUUGAUGCCAUAUUAAAUUAAUCCAAGAACAGUAAAUUAAACUUAUACUCCACUGGAAGAGAUGCCAAAUUUGGUUAGGAAUGAACACGAAGGAGAGGUGGAAAUGUACAACAAUUAAAAAAAGAAAAUAAGAGAAAUGAAGAGGUGAGAACCAAAUGGCAUCACAGUAUUUGAGGCCCAAGCUUUAACAAAGCAGAGUUACCUAGGCCCAAUUAUGCUGCAUCCGUAUGGUCUAAGCCCAAUAAGUUUUUGAAGCCGUUUGACUACUACCAUAUCAAUGGAUUCAGUCUAACCCAAGACAAGAAAGCAAUUCACUCGUUGCUCUCUUGUUACGUCUAAUGUGGGCAUUCGGAGUUCUUUUAUCUCCCAACCACUGUCAGAUAUUAGAUAAGUAUGUCGUAGACGUAAAUCAAAGUGAUGUAGCAACCCAAUCCAUGGUCAUGGUGGGGACUUCGAUGACCAUGUCAAUGCCCUUCCCCGUCUUUCUUUUCUUUUCUGGUUCCUUGUAAAUUUUGCUGAUAUCGUGUGCAUUUUGCUGAAAUAAAUAUCGAAAGUGACAGUAGCUAUCCUUGUAUAUUUGUCACCCCAGUUCCCAUUUCAUAUUUGUAUACUCCCUCUUUCUCUUCCCCACCUGACCUGGUCGGUCACCCAGCCCACCAAAACCGACCACCGCUAAUAAGCGUUGAAGCCCAUUUAGUGAUUUUAUUAUGCAACAAACCCCUCACCAAACCUGAUUAUCCGGAUGCCACGUCACCACGAUAUCCUUGUCCACCUCGACUUAGUGCAAGUCGCACGGUGCAAUGAAUGGUUUGGAUCAGGCCACGUCACUUCACUUCGACUUGGAUAGUUAAAUUUAAAAUUUAAAAAGUUAAAAUAUAAAAUGAGUGAAUCGGGUCAUUUAUCAAACACCCUUAAAUGUGCAUUCAAUGUUACGUGCUAUAUCACCAUUAUUAAUAAGUGGAAUUACGUAAUUUUGCAUUAGACAGAAAAAAUGGACAGAAAAUCCAUCUACCAAAAUCGACCACCGCAAAUAAGCGUUGAAGCCCGUUUAGUGAUAUUAUUAUGCAAUAAACCCCUCACCAAACCUGAUUAUCCGGAUGCCACGUCACCACGACAUCCUUGUCCUCCUCGACUAGUGCGAGUUGCACGAUGCAAUGAAUGGUUUGGAUCAGGCCACGUCACUUCCCAUCGACUUGGAUCGUUAAAUUUAAAAUUAAAAAAAUUAAAUAAUAAAAUGAGCUAUUCAGAUUGGAUUGAAUUUAUGUAGCCAAAUUUGGACCAUUAAGAGCCGAUGACGUUGGUUAAUUUGAGUUGAAGUUUCUCGAAAAUAUGCACAUAUACAAGAUCUAAAAAAAAAAUUAUACGGUAAAACCUCUAUACAUUAAUAACGUGGGGAUCAUAUAAAUUUUAUUAAUUUAAAGAGGUAUUAAUUAAUAAUUUAUUAAUUUAUUGAAUGUACUUACAAUUAAAAGAGACACUCAUUUAAUCAACUAAAGUUUUAUUUUUAUUUAUAAAAAUAUGAAUUAUUCUAUUAAUAAAAAGAGGUUAAUAGUUUAAGGGAUAUGGAACAGUCCAUAUCCACUUGAUUUUCAAGUAUAAUUUAAUUUUAUUACUUUGCAAGUACAAUUAGUGCACGGAGAAUCGGGGAUUGAGAGGAUGGUUGAAUGAAAUAACGGGAUUAGGCGGACGAGCACAGGGCUGGUAACGCUUCACGCAGGCUAAAGGCGCUAAACUACUCUCCCUGAUUCUUUGCUUCCAUAACAAAAAAACAAAAAAAAAAAACUGCCGUCCCUGAUCCGAAGCCAAAUUCUAAGCUAAAUUCGUUUCCUGGGUAGUUGAAACUUGAUACUUGACAGCUACCCGCCCACUUGAGCUGGUGAGGACCAAACACCCAAGGACUGGCCAUGGACGAGUAUUUAGCACAAAUGAUCCGUUUGGACACGAUGUUGCCACAACCAACCACUAAGUUGCUAUCAACAGAGUUGUAAAACUCUCUAUCUAAAUGCAAGUUGAGGAAUUAAAUUCCUUAAUUUGUAUUUUACUAUUCAAAAUUUUUUGAAAAUAUAUUCUAUUAUUUAAAUUUUUCUGAAAUUUUUUUUUGCCAGCGAGUGCGUAAACAUCAGUCUGGAUCAGUGUUGGCUUACCGGAUUUCCUUUAACAAAAAAAGAAAGAAAGAAAGACACGAUGUUGCCACAUCAGGCGACCCAAUGUUUGGAAGGCAAACUGAUGAGCAACAAUAUGAAGAUACCAAAGGAUAAAAUACAGUAAAUUCACCCAAGUUUUUUCCUCUUCCUGCUCUCUUUUCUUUUCUUUUUCUUUUUUCUUUAGUUCAAUUGAAACACAGGCUUCUCUUAUGUUUCAUUUGAUGCGCUUCAUUUUGUUAGUUUUCAGCUAGCUAAUUAAUUGAGAGAGGCUGAUCCAUGCUGCUAAAAUUUUACUUGAAGCUAAUGUGCUACUUACUUAAAAAAUUACCCUCCCCAUUGGUCAGUCACAUUAAUUGUCAUUAAAGAUCUAGCCAAUGAAAGAAAGAGCCAAUGAAAGAAAGAGCACGCACAUCCGCUAUUACAGGAGCUCUUUGCUCAACCCUCGACGAGUGGCCGCGGAAGCAUAAACUUUUCUUUUAUAUAUGUAUCAAAAAAUGGAUGUUUAGUAAAAUAGUUGCCAAAAAAAAAAAAAAGUUUACCGCUUAAAGGUCAACUGCAACAAGAAAGACCUAUUAAAAACAAAUAAGGGAGACAAACGGUGCAAUUGAAAGAAUAAGCUGGGACUGGGAGAACAAAAUGAAAGUUCAGGGGGAUUUUACCAUAUUUACACACACUGAAACUCAUUUUAGCCUGUUAUGUACCUGUUUCACUAACUCGCAACAUGCGGUUGGUUGCCGCAUCCCUGUAGCCGGCGCCCGGCAGUAAAUAAAGAAGAUAGGUAAGGUUUGAACUUUUCUUAUAUUAAUAUAUUAAUGACGGACGCGGAGGAAAUUGGACAUUUUCCACGCCAUGUUCUGUGUUCUCACCAUCUCACCAACCGCGAAACCAUCUUCGUCCUGCCUUUGUUCAUCCCUUAUAUGCUAGUAUUAUGAUUCACAUCAUAUACGACUCCGAAGACCAUUUGGAGGCCCAUCUACUUACCACUCUUUCGCGUUUCUCACAGCCCACCAACCCGUUUUCAUUUUGCAAAGUAAUUUCAUAAAUGGUCUGCUUAAAUGAAUGCAUAACAUUCAGCCCCCCUCAACCUCAUCUCACGGAACGUAGCAAUUAGAUGCAUAUUAGGAGGGGUGCCGUAGAAUUAUCCCAUACCUAAGCUAGAAGUAGUAUAUGGUAGUCAUUUUAUUAUUAGCCAUAACUCUAGCGCAGAGAUUUCUCACUCUCUCUCUCUCGCAUAAACACAGGCUAAUGGCAUCCGUUAAACCUACUAAAUCUUGUCUGCAGCAUUACUCCAAUCCAAAGUUCUCUACGUCAGCCCAUUCUCAUUCCGGCUUCAUCAAUUACAGCAAAACCCCAUUGCGAUUCCAAAGAAAUCCAACAUGGAGAAAACUCUCGUUAGAGGACGGAAGAGAAGAGCAAGAGUUUAGAAGAAGAGGAAUCAGAGGCACCUGUUCUUUGGAAAUCAACAAUAGUAUUAGCAUCAGCCAUAUACACAACAACACUAAGAAGCAGAGAGGAGGAGGAUGCGGUGGGGUGGUGAGGUGUACGGCAGAGGGGAUAGAGAGGGGACUGCUGGUGGGGGGAGGAGGAGGAGGAGGAGGAGGAGGGGGGAGAAGUCAAGAAGUUGAGGGGGGACUGAUGGUGGCAGAGAGGUUCAAGGUGGUGGCUUUGGUGGCUUCCAUCAUGUGCCUAUGCAAUGCUGAUAGAGUUGUCAUGUCGGUCGCCAUUGUCCCAUUAGCCGCUCAACACGGCUGGAGCAGCUCUUUCUUGGGCAUUGUCCAGGUGACCCCUUCAUCUCCAUUCGUCUUUUCUUUUCUUUCCUCCUUUUUUUUUUAAAAUAAUUAUAUUAUAUUGCAUUCACCGGCAUCUUGUUUUCUAUAGCUCAAAUAUCUUCUUCAUUUUUUUUUGUCAAUAAUCGAGUUAAAUUCUGCCGGUCCAAUUGUUAUCCCCUUGAAAUUUAGUACUGCUCCAGAAGUAGCAGAGACAAACCUGAGAGAACGAGAGAUGUGAGGAAAUGCUACUUACCCAACGCGGCGGCAGUGGUGGUUGGGGAAAUAGCAAGUUUCUUGGUUGUUAGGAGUUAGGACUCGAGAGGUUAAAAGGGAGGAAAAAAGUUUUUAAAAAAAAAAGACUAGAUGAAAAGGGUUUGCCGUCUUUUGAAGCCGCCAACAAACCCUAAUUGUGGGUCCUACUCUUUGAAGUUUUGUGUCAGAGUCGGAGAUGAAGACCGGGAAAGGAAGGACACAUACUGACUGUACGACGAUGGUGAUGGUGAUGAUCCGCCGAUCAACGUUUUCUAUUACUAGCAAUUUGGUCACUGUGGGCCAUGGCAAGAAUGGUUCUCUCUACUCUCUUCCCUUCCCUCUUCGGGGAACGGGCGGGAGGAUAACUGCAACUGCCCCCAGUUAAGUGGCCGGACCAAUUUUUAUUUUUUUUAAAAAGAAAAAAUAAAAAAUGAUUGCGUAUUUGAUUUUGGGCGGGCCCUCGGAGAGGGUUGGUGGGUUGGGUAAAGCGUAUUUGGGAGUUGGGACACGUGAUAUGACAUGUCAUAUAUGUGUUGGUAGGUUGGUUCAUUACUACUUCGGGUUUCAAUUGUCGGUAAGUAGAAUUUGAGAAGUGGCCAGUUGUGCGCAUGUUUUUGUGUUUUUUUUUUUCCAACUCAUUUUUCAGUUUAACUCACACUAACAAAAUUUAAUCAGUAGUCUUCAACGUACCAAAGUAGGAAUACUCACCCAAAUAAAUUCGCAUGCCGUUUCAAACUUUUCCUUCUAUUGGUUGUACUACGUACAAACGAAUGAUCGGGGGCCAGAUGACUCAUCUUUUUGAUAAGUUAGGCUGUAGGUUGCUUGUACCUGCUGGCUUAGAUUCUUGAUGGAGACCAAUACCAGUUACAAAGAUGAGCUAGUUUGAUUGCUAGGCUUCCACUCGCAGCAUAUGUGUAAGAGUCAAUUUUUCUGAUGGAUAGAUGACAAUGAUAUGUAAUGCUAUGGUCCUCCUUUCAUUCUAUUGGGGGCUGGAUGGCUACUUUCUCUUUCUUUCUUGUGGCCUAUGUUUCAUUUUCUUUCAUUGCUUUUCCACUUUUUCUUUGGAAGAAAAAAUUAGCAGCAAGGUAAAUGAGUUUAAAAAAAAAAAAUGUACGAGUUAUUUUUUGAGCUUCCUGAAGAAGUAAAUAGCGCCGUGUGACCUAAAGGAAGUAAAAAUGUGGAAGCUCAGUGAUUUCUGGUGUUUAUUUAACAACUCCCUUGGGUUGUUUGAUCAAAGCUCUUAGCCAGGGCAUUUUUGUGUGUUCUUUGAUGCAAUUAGAGAGUUUGUUUCCCGGAAGCUUUCCAGUCUGUGUAAAGCCACCUUCCCUGGUGUCUCUGUGGAUCUUAAUCUUCUGAAGAGAGAUUGGGCAUGUAAUACUUCAGAAAGGUGCAGGGCUAGUGUUGUUUUCCCCAACUUCAUUUUGAUAUUCACAAGGUGAUGGGAAAAAUAAUUGUGACACUUGCACUUGGUCAUUGAAGGGAGCCCUUGUAUGAUGAGCUAAGGCCGCAAAACUGUGAUGAAUUAACUGACAUGAUUAUCCUGUGUCCAAGGAUCUGUCUAGGAGAGCAUUGUGCUUUCCAUGUUUGUUUUAGGAGAAACUCUGACGUUGGGUAAAAAGUUUUGUCCUGUUUGUUAUACAUCUAUAUAUCCACAUACUGAUAUUUAUUGUUUGGAUUGAAUGGCCUAGGAGGCCUUUGACUAGUGGCUAAGAUAGAGGUCCUAAGAAUUAGAGGUCCUAAGUUCAAUUCCCCUCCUCCCUCCCCGCAUCAUAAAUCCCAGCCUUCCCCUGCUAAAAAGGAAUUGAAAACAAUAAUGUUUGGACUGAAUAUAAAAUUUUUUUACUUGCACGAGGAAUACCAAGAUCAAAGCUGUCUGCCUUCAAAAACUUCAGAUGAUGGUCAACGUGUAUCAGACUACUUAGUUUUUUCAUCAACUUUUAUAAUCAUGUAUGUUAAACCUGGUGAGAGACCUUUAAUUUCUUGAGAUAAGCAAUUGACUUAGGACUUCAUUCAUCUCUGUUGGAAAGCCUCCUGUACAAAUUGCAAUAUAAAUUCCUGUUUGAGAUGCAUUUACGAGUAAAUAAGAUAUCAAAAAGGAUGCUUUCAUGUGAGUUUUGUGGCUGAAGUUUGCUAGUGGAAAUUCUGAGGCGCUAGACCUAGAUUGUCUCAUUUCUUCUUGCUUAGAAAAAUGAUGUGGGCUUGUAUUUUUAUUUUUAUUUUUUAUAUAUUUCCACUUAUAAUUCCUUAAUCACAAUACAUCGCUGCUCAGUUGGUGGGAAAUAUUUAGUGUGUGGACCCACACCAUAAGAGUCCAUGCACUUAAAGGACACUCGAUAUAGUGGAGGUGGUCUUUCAAGGUAGGUAAAAUCUGUCUUGAUAACACACUUGUUAUAACUUGGCUGCAGUCUUCAUUUCUGUGGGGAUACAUAUUUUCAUCGGUUAUAGGAGGAGCCUUGGUGGACAAGUAUGGAGGAAAGAGAGUGAUUGCUUGGGGUGGAGCCCUGUGGUCGUUGGCCACUCUCCUCACACCAUGGGCUGCAAAUCACUCCACAGCAAGCCUCUUGGCUGUACGUGCUUUCUUUGGACUUGCUGAAGGAGUAGCUCUACCCUCAAUGAACACUCUUUUAUCAAGGUAAUGCUAAUUUUCCCUUUGGUAUCUGAUAUAGAAGGUUAAGUUCGGGAAGAAAAUGCUGUGGUUCUUUCUAUAGUUCUUGAAUAUCCAGCAACUGCAAUGAGUUCAACCACACAUGAUUUUGCAAAUGUGGGAUUUUAUUAGACAUUCUGUAUUUGAAAUGUGUAUUCUAAGGAGCAUUUUGCUGUUUGCUUGGUAAGCUUUUUAGGAGAAUAAAGCUGAAAUUUCAUAUAGCCAAUAAUCCCUAUUAGAUUCUCUACUUCUAAUCUAGCAGCUUUUAAUUAUGACAUGUAAACCACCAGCAUGCUAUCUGAUUUUUUUUUAAUCUGUUAUCUUUUUUACAGGUGGUUUCCAAGCCAUGAGAGAGCUACUGCUGUUGGUAUAUCUAUGGGAGGAUUUCAUCUAGGAAAUGUUGUAGGCUUAGUACUAACUCCUCUAUUGAUGUCAUCCAUUGGGAUUUCUGGUCCGUUCAUCCUCUUCUCAUCUCUUGGACUACUCUGGCUGACUACAUGGGUAUAUCGUGUUACAAAUGACCCACAAGAUAGCAGCACUAUCAGAAAAUCAGAAUUGCGUUUGAUACAAGCCGGAAAAUCUGAUUCUUCGGCAACUAAGGGCAAGCUUCCACCUCUAGGCCUCUUAUUGUCAAAACUGCCCGCAUGGGCUAUUAUUCUUGCUAACGUUACUAACAACUGGGUAAGCACCCAUUACUUUCUUAUGUAUUCUUUUUAUUUCUCUUGGAAUUUUGGAUCUGCACUCUGUUAUGAUUGUUUGGACUUGAGGUAUGAAUCUGAAGAAUUCUAUAAAAUGCAGGGAUACUUUGUUCUGCUCUCAUGGAUGCCUGUGUAUUUCAAAACUGUGAGUUCCAAAACUUAGGUUUCUCCUUGUAAGAUUUUUCCUUGCCCUCUGAUUCAGUGUGCCUUCUUUAUUUUUCUUUCUGGGUAUGAUAUUCUGAUAUCUUGAUGAGGGAGCAAAGGAAAACUAAUCUCACCAAGCCUUUCAAGGUGUUGAAAGGAUUCUUUAGUAUGAGAUGGUUACCAUUCUCACUUACUUUCCAUGCCUUUUCUUUGUCUCUUCGGACCGAACUGCAUUUAGUCUCUACUUUGAUUUGCAGCCUAACCAUGUUAAAGCUGUCUGUAGAUUGUCCCUGCUGUGUUAACAUAGCUAAUUAUUGUGCUGAAGGUUUUUGGUGUGAACUUGAAGCAAGCAGCUUGGUUUAGUGCAGUCCCCUGGGGAACAAUGGCAAUUUCAGGCUACAUUGCUGGGGCAAUUUCAGAUUACUUGAUCAAAGCAGGAUAUUCAUUGACAUUAGUCCGAAAAAUCAUGCAGGUAGCUUUAUUUUCUUUGAAGAUGAUCUAGAUUUUUAUCAGUGCCCAGAUUGAAACUUAAAUACUUCCAAGACUUGAGUGAACUCAGAAAUAAGAGGACUUAGGGAAUGAAUAGACGCCCUAUACUUGAUUAUAAGUCAGCUUCUCUUGUUGAGCGAUUGCAGGCAAAAAAAAAAAACGAAUGAUUGGGUUUUAGUGAAUGUUUAAGGUCUACUGAAAUUUGUUGGAUGGCAUCCAAUGUUAACUUUCUCAUUUUUUUUGGAAAAUUCUUGUUAUUGUAUGUUUUAUAGAUGUUAUCUCCAACAACAUUUUUCUUUGCACUGUCAGUCCAUUGGUUUCAUUGGGCCUGGAGUAUCAUUGCUCUGUUUGAACUUUGCCAAGACACCGGAGGUUGCAGCCGUAUUCAUUACAGCAGCGCUGAGCCUGAGCUCUUUUAGUCAAGCUGGCUUUUUGCUGAAUAUGCAGGUAAACUUGAAUAUGCAUAGUUUGUCAGACUGAAGAAUUGGAAAGUUCAACAGUUGCACUUUAGCGUCAGUUUCUCAGCAUUUAAACUGGCUUUUGUGGUUGUUUUUCUAGGAUAUCGCCCCUCAAUAUGCUGGAUUUCUUCACGGUAUGUCUAUGAAACCACUCCAUUGAUGCCUUGUUCUGAUACAUUACCUCUGACACCACUCCGUUCAUGCCUUAUUCUAAUUCACUUUGUGUAGAUCGAUAAUUUGCUCCUUUCUUGAUGAAAAUUAACAGGGAUAUCAAAUUCUGCUGGAACUCUGGCUGCAAUAAUCAGUACAAUUGGAACAGGAUUCUUCGUGCAGUGGCUGGGAUCUUUCCAAGCAUUUCUAACCGUCACUGCGUGUCUGUACUUUGUUACCACCAUAUUUUGGAAUCUUUAUGCUACUGGCGAGAAAGUCUUCUAGGCAAAGCAGCUCCAGUAUUCAUACUCCAUUAUUCAUAGACUUGCCAAAAUGGUCUGGCGAGCAAAGCAUCAAAACAGAUACAAAGAUUUUUCCCCAGACUUUGUGCUCGAAAAUCAUUUUGCUACACAGAAGAAUUCUAUUCUAUUGCCUCAAUGUCAAUUAUUGUAAGGUCAUACCACAUUAAGUCUUGGAAGAAUGCUGAUAAUUUAUUUUAUUAAUUUUUUUUUUCAGAUUUUGGUAGGUGAGUUGAAAGGGCCUAGGUUGUUUCUAGUGACGUUGUAUUAUAUGUUAGAGAAACUGGACUGCCACCUUGUCAAUAGUAAAUUAAUGAAGAUGUUUAUUCACCCAUUUUCCCUUAAUUGUUGCCCUCUGAUUCCUUUUUUUUUUUUUUUGGUUGAAUCAAUAUUACUAGAUUAUUAUAGACAUUGUGAUGGCUCCUUUCUUGCUGCAUUCGUCUAACUGGCAAGAAUACACUAAGUUUAGCUACCUGACAGAGUUGGCCAGGCAGGUAAUUACACGAGUUUUUGGUUAAAAUAAUCUACUUUUCAAAAAAUAAUCCCAAAGUAAUGCUCUUUCAGUUUUUAUUCCCUUAUUAAUCUAGUUAUUGCCAUGUCGACUCCCCAUCAAAGGAAAAAAAAUAACUUGUAAAUCUUUUGUUUAGAUAUUACACAGUUUUUCUUUAUUUAGUGCCUUAAGGACAUUCUGUAAACAAAUUAAAAAAGGAAAGUGGAUCCAUAAUUAGUGUUUUAAAAUUGUUGAUCACCCUCCAAAUUGCAAUGAUUUUGCCGAAGAACCUUUUUUUUUUGCUGCCAUUAUUCCUCCCUAGCUUUAUUCUUGAUUAUUAUAUCACAAGUUCCUUUCUUUUUUUCUUGUUACUUGCAAUUUUUUAUACGGUAGUCUCCUAACUUUGUAAAUUUUAAGAAGUUUGCAGAAAUUCAAAUUGUUUGAAGUACGAGUAAACAUUUCAAGAUACAUAAUAAUCAUAGUAUACGUGAACUAUAAAAAUUCCACUAUAAGGGGAAAGAAAAUUUGAAAAAAAAAAUUCUCUUGCAUUUUUUGACUUAUCAAAAGAGAAUACAUCCCAAAAAAAUAGGAGAGGGAAAAUAUAACUAGGUCAGUGUUAGUAUCAAAAUUAACACGCUAUAUGAGCCAAUCUAAUGUGAGAAACACUAAUUAACUCAAUAAUAGAUAGAGAAAUAUUUUUAUUUAUCUUUAAGAUUGUACAUAAGUAGCAAAAUUUGAACUAUUGAAAAGUUAUUAAAACUCUAUUGAUGUAGAUUGUACCUCUUAAUAUAAGAUGGAAAUGUUAAUACUUUCCAUACUCAAAGUCCACGUGGCAACAAGUAGGUUAACAAGGGAAUAUAUUUUGAAAGUGCAUUAGUUUGGGAAUAGUUUUAAAGAAUGAGGUUAUUGUUGAAAUUUGCAGUAAGUUCUCAUAUUUGUAUUUGGCUGCUAAGAUGGUCUUUGGGAGCCAAGCUCCAGAAAAAUGGGUAUUAAGUGAAGUAUCGUUCGUGAAAGCCAGCUUAUGAAUUAAUAGUUGGGUUAACAACACUUUGCCCCUCUGAAAGUUGGGGUAAUAAUACCUUUCCCCACUCAAUGAAAAUAAUAGGCACUUUUUCCACUUGAGAUAUUUUGUGUGGUAUUUGUGGCAAGCAUUCCGUCUGCAAAAUAUAGAAAAAUGGACUGCUUAAUAUGUUGACAAUUUUACCCUUAUGCUAUUGAUAAAUAACAAAAAUUUAUAAAGUUAAUUUUAUAUAAUACUAAUAAUAUAUAUACUAUUACAGUUGGAUGUAUGACAUAAACAAAAUUUGAAUUUCAAAUUUAAAUUGAGAUAAGUUAUCAUGCAUCUAAUAGUGAUGGUGUAUACACUGUCAAUAUAUAAAAAAAAUAAUUCAGAUUUAUAAAUGAUAUUUUAUUGAGAAAAUGGAAUGCUUAAAUACGUUUUACUCUUGCGUUAUUGACAAAUAACAUACUCUUAUAUUGUUGAAAAAUAACGAAAAUAUAUAAUGACAUUUAUUGAGGAAUGUCAGUCAUAUAUAGCACCAAAGGUUUUCUUCAAAAACAACAUACAUUUUGGGGUGUUCAAACUUCGAAAAGUCAACCGAUCCAAUUUAGAUUGGAUACCAGUCAAAUGAAAAUCGAUAAAGUCAAUUGAUAUCUAAAUUUAAACCUACUAAUAUAUUUCAUGGAUUAAUGAUGUUAUAAGUUAUAGCUCAUGCUUCCAUAGGAUCAAUUUGACUAAAAAUAAAAUUACAAGAUAAAGGUAGAAUUGUCAAUAGAUUUAAGUAGACUUUUUUUUUUAACAUUUUCAAAUGGAAUACUUGAAACAAAUACCGUGAAAUAUUCUCAAGUGGGUAAAAUGCCUAUUAUUUUCAUUUAGGGGGCAAAGUGUUAUUACCCCUAACUUUUAGGGGGCAAAGUGAUAUUAACCCUUAAUAGUAUUAUAUAAUCUAGGGAUAAUUUCAAGGAGGUUUCUAACAAUUAAAGACAUCUUUCCUAAAGUUUGAAAAAAUUACAGUUAUCUCCAUUGUUGUUAUGAAAAGACCAUGAUAGCCUUUAUAAACUUUACAAAUUUUAAUAGAAAAUGAGUUAAGAGAGAAAAAUAAUUUUUUUUUUUGUAAUAGUUCUGUUGCGCUUGGAUUUUAUCUCAAUAACGGGUGGUGGGAUAAAAUCCAAACCCAAUAACUUCUUUAUCCUAAAACUCUAACAUCAUUUAAUCUAAUACAUUAUACUUCAUUCCCAAUUUCUCUAACCAGUUUUAUUAAUCAAUUUACAAAAAGUGGACCAACCGAUUGGGGAGGCAUUUGUUGAAUAAGUAUUUUAAAAAAUUACUUAACAAGAAAAAAAAGUCCAAAGUACCAAAAAAGAAUACUUUCAAUUCAGGUUUAAAUUUUCCUGUAAAAAACUGAACUUUUUAGCAUUUAAAGAUUCGACAAUUUCCGCAGGACCAAGAGAUGGUGCUGAAUUAGGAGUGUGCAAAAUCGAAAAUUUUCCAUUUAUCGAUCGAAUUCGAAUUGCACUCGGAAUUUUCGAAAUUGGUAAUUCGGAAUUCGGCACUGAAAUCGGAAUUUUCGAUUUCGAAUUAAGCGAAUUUGGUUUGAAUUCGGUAAUGGAGUUUUUGAAAUCAGAAAUUGAAAUUGAAAUUUUCGAUUUCAAUUUCGUUUUAUAAUAUAUACAUAUAUUAAUAUACAUUUAUUUAUAUAUAUAAUAAUUUUUUUAUUUCAUUUUCAUUUUAUAAAUAUAUAUCAUAAUAAUAAUAAUAUUUUUAAUAUAAAAUUUAUAUUAUAUAAUAAUAUAUCUAACAAAAAAGAAAAAAAAGGAAAAAAAGGUUUUUAAAUUCGGUGAAUUCCAAAUUUACCGAAUUUCAAAUUGAAUUCGGAAUCGGAACUAGUGAAUUCGAAUUCGAAAUCUGUCGAUAAUUCCUAUUCCAAAAUUCUGAAAAAUUUCGAGUUCAAACUUUCAAAUUACCGAAUUCGAAUUCACCCAUACACCGUACGUAAGAUAGGAGAGAAACUAAUGAAUCAAAAUCGAGAGUGCAUAUUUAGUCAUAUUGAAAGGAAAGUUUGUCGUUUGUUGAAAAAAAAGAAAGGAAAGUUUGUCAACUAUGCAGAAUUUCACUGCGGGGUGAUCCCAUCUCAAGGAUUUUCUUGAUUACUGGUAAUGUCCAAUAAUGUUGACGGAGGGGUUUGCUGGCCGACAGCACAUAUCCUAUAGUUUUUCACACCGGAGAAAAUGUUCUGAGAAAUACUCCGCGGUAAAAGGGGAAUUAGAAGGGGGGAAAAAAAAAACUACAAGAGAUCAAAACGUCCCAGGAGGUAACAAGAGAAAAGUCAAAUAGAUAGGGUGAAGUGGACAAAUACGGGACAAAUAAGAUAAACGAUAUGCAUAUAAAACAGGAGCGAGCUGGUUGGAGAGUGGAGAGCAAAGAGUGACCAAAGGCCCAGGGGCCAAUCACUUGGAAUUUCUGCUGUGUGGGAGUGUGCGUGCAAUCACACGUCUUUGAAGGAGUGAUAUAAACAAUGUUGAUCCCUGUUGCGGAUGGGAUCGGGAUGAGACUUCAAACCUCCUUUGUUCUCUUCAUAGAUUAUUGCCACUAAAUUCUUUGAGACGAAAUUGAGAGAGCUACCAUCCACCCUUGAAACCCCUAACCUCACCCACCUUUCCUUUCCCAUUUAUAUGUUGAGUAGCUUAAUUUCUCCAACAUCCCAAACAAACAGUCGAACUACUUGUAAUCAGUGGGUGGAAGGAUUCCCUCCCUAGCAUCAUCUUGCCAAAUUCUGUUCUACAAAAUAUCGGUCAAACCCUAUUUGCUCUUCGUCCGUAUCGAUCCAAAAUAUCAUCUUGCAUCCCAGCCCCUAGCCCAAUUUUAGCUGAAUAUCAAAUCAACCUUUUUGGGCAUUUCGGCAACUCCCAAAGCUUCGUUGAUCUUUCACACUGGAAUUGAAUCAAACUUCCAGCUGAGAUUGGAAUUUCCAUUGCAAAACAGUUUUAUCGAGGUACACUGCAGUAAAAGAUACUAUCUGAUUUGGGUCUGUUGUGGGCUUCUUUCCAUCUCUUCCAUCGGAAAGAUCGAUCCUUUUUCCCCCGCAGUUUUGAUCCGGGCUGAUCUCUGACUGCCUUCGAGGUAUGAAUUUCCGAAGCAUGGAGGAGUUUUGGCUGUUUUACAUGAAUCAACACUCGAAACCAGCCACCAGGCGUUGGCAUUUUGUGGGCACACUUUGUAGCAUUAUUUGCUUGAUAUAUUCAAUGCUUUUCAACUGGUGGUUUGUGAUCCUUGUGCCCUUGUUGGGAUAUGGCUUGGCAUGGUAUAGCCAUUUCUUUGUGGAAGGAAAUGUUCCUGCAACAUUUGGGCAUCCCUUUUGGUCCCUUUUAUGUGAUUUCAAGAUGUUUGGAUUGAUGCUCACUGGUCAAAUGGAUAGAGAAAUCAAGAGGCUCGGUAAGAGGCCAGUUCUGCAAGCUUACUAAUCCAUUCCGAUUUUCUAUUUUACUCUUUUCUUCCGGUAUGGUUCACAAAACCGCUUGUAAUUCCCUUUCUCGCGUUCAAUCUAAUCUUAAUUUAGUUCAUUCAGCUGCCGACUUACAACUGAAAUACUCUUGUGUUCGCUAAUUUGCUGCAAUCAAUCUUCCGCCCUUUUGCAAAUUGAUGAAUGUUUUGUGCAAACUCAAUACUACGUUUUCACAUUUGCGGAGGGGGGUCAUAAGCGUUUCUCAAAUUGCAUACACGUUUUAAGGUAUUCAGCUUAGUAGCAGCGAGGAAUGAUUAUGAAUCACUCGUCCUUGAAAGCACUAAAUAUCCCUCGCAAACUGGACAACUGGGGUUCGACCUUUACAUCUUCAAGAGUAUUUCCGUGGUGUCUUUUACUUUUCUAUUCAACGGAGAGACAGAAAAUGUACUCUCUCUUCAGAACAAAAACGAAAAUAUCCAGCGCGCCUUACAUUUCGCCAUUUCUUGCAAAUGUACCGCUAAGUUCAACAAUUAGUAAGGGAACGAGACUAUCCUAGCCCGCGUCUCAGCCAGUCUGCGGGUAUCCGUAUAUCCAAAGAAAUGGAAAGCACGAAGUCCAAGCUGAGACAUACAUGAUGUGAAUGAACAUUCAAUUUCCCAGUAAUUCCUGUUCCUAAGUAAGUAUCAAAAGGGGAGUUACAUUUGGACAUGAAGCUCCAAAGCCUUUAUCCUGCUUUUCUACAGUGAGAUGUAUUUCAGGCUUGAUUCAGGUGACCUCCCUAACAUACUAAUAUGGUCUCGGCUCCAUGAUAUUACAUCUGUGGCGAACUUUGGAUAAAUAUCACAUUUCAAGAGUCUUGUGUCCGGCUGUAUUAGCAAAAUUGUCUAUCAUCCACUAUCAAAAGUAGCUUAACAUCACAAGUCGGUGUUCCGUGAAAAUGAUGGCAGUGGCAUUCCCUCCUGUGGACGGAGAAUGACAAUGACACCAAACAUCCCAAGCAUUGGAAGGACUAGAAGCCAUUUCAACAACUUGUAAUAGUGCAUAUGGAAUGUCAGGGCGAAGUCAUCAGAAAAAUAGAGCCCAUUCUUGUCAACCAUUUCCACCACAACCAUCCCAGAGGUCCUCACCCCUACAGUUGGAAGCUUUAUCCUAUGAACUCCAGCACGAUCAAAGACAUGGUUUUGCUUAAUCGUCCUUUCCCCUUGGUAAUUACCAGGAACCAACAAGCUUACCUGUUCAGAUGUGUGUGAGACAAAGACAGUACAUAAUGGAUAAUAAUGCAAAGUAAAUUUCAUGGACCUUUUAUGUUAGAUGCUUUAGAAUAUGAAUGCAAAGUAAAUUUCGUGGACCUUUUGUGUUAGAUGCUUUAGAAUAUGAGACGGAAGAAGCCACUCACCGUAACAUUGUAAGGACCUUGAUAUCCAGAUGGAAUCCUGUACCCAUCCACAAUCUCCAUCUCGACCCAGAAACUCUUACCUUCUUCAUCUCGGAAAGCCCUCGAUGAUGGAGUAACGUGGAUUCCCUCGCGAUUGGGACGGUAUGCAACAUUGUUCCUCCCCUGAUUAUGUGAUCUCCAAGCCUAGGAAUGCACAAGAGCAACUCAGAUCAAUUGAGUGCAAGGACAGAUGGCAAGAAGCAAGCAACAAAAUAUUUCGAAUGUAUCCAACCUUGAGAGGAUGAUGGGGAGCAGGAGUUGAGAAGCAGAAGACAUUUCCAUUCAUUGUUGUGACUAUAAGAUCCAAAUCAUCUCCACCAUCCACAUUAUCAGCCAAGACCAUGCUAUAUCUGUUCCCCAAAAUGGACCAAAAAGAACCAGAAAAUGCAAAAGUUUAGUAAAUUACGAAGAAAGAAGUUUGAAGGCCUCAAGGAAUGUGGUUGUCUUACGAAGUUUCACCAAUAUCCACCACAUCCGCACAUGAUGUCGGUCCAUCAAUAAGAUACAUAUAUCCAUCAAAUGAAGUUGUAACAAUAGUAAGCCCCUUCUUCUUUUCCCCUCUUUUGCUCAAGUCAACCAGAAGUACCUGAUUCAUCACUCUACCAUGAGUUCUAUAUGGAUAUGGCCUUACAAAAGAUCCAUCCUUGCCACUCAGCACAUAUAUAUUCCCAGAUAACGUCGGAACAACAACAUCUGUAUGGCCAUCCCCAUCCACAUCACCCACACUCGCUCCCUGAUUGAAAGGCAAUCUUUCAGCAUGUCAUUGAACUAUUAAAAUAUAUUUGAAUCUCAUUAAGCUGAAGACAUUGCAAAACAAACUGAACCUUACCUGUGGAACAAGGCUCUUAAGAUGUUGUUCCCAUAUUUCUUUUCCCUGAGUAGUCCAUGCAGCCACAUUCCCAUGUGUAUCAGUAGUAACAAUUUCAAUCUUUCCAUCAUCAUUAAUAUCAGCAGCAAUGACUGCUCCUUGUAUUUCAGCCAUUUCCACAGGAAACUUCACCCUCAUUUCGCCUGAGUACAAACUAAUCAAUUACAAAGCAACACAACAAGAAUAAUAACAAAUGGUUUUCUCUUCUCUCUCAUUCCCCCUCUGAUAUGCCAUCCAAGCAUAUACCAAAAAACAUUUACAAGAAUAAAGAAUAAGACAAAUGAUCAUCAAACAUGUAGACAGCAUGUCCCCCCAUCAAAACACACACACUCUCUCUCUCUCUAGGACAUUUUUAGCAGCCCUAAUUCUCUCUCAUAUUAGACAACCGGAGCCAAAGCAUCUAAUUCAUUUUCUUCAGGUAACCAACUGGAGAGCAAGCAUAUGCAAGCAUAAAACAUGUCGAAUUUUGCCAAAAAGUCGUAUGUUUGCCGGAUAACAAUGAUGACAAAAAGAAGACACGAAAGAGGAAUAAAUACCCACAGAGCUUCUUUCCUUUUCUGAUGUUGGGAUCAAAGAACAAGGUAAAGGACACAGGCCAGGAGGGAGAAAGAAGAAUUUAUGAGUGAAAAAAGAAGAAAGUUUUAGGGCAUAAGGAGGAAACUGUAUCAAGAGCCACUCAGAAGUUCCAUAUUUGUUUAUAUUUAACUUUAUGUAUACAGAAGUCAAUCACAAUAUCUUUAUCUUUCAGGAGGUUCCAUUAGCUUCUUUCAGUCAAUAAGUGUUGGACAGACAAUAACCAACGACACACAAAACCAAUUUAUGUACAUGAAAUCAACGUGAAACCCAACCAUCAAUGACUAAAAUGGAAAAACCAAUUAAGCAAGGGACGUGCAUGACAGAUAUACAACUGUUAAACAACUAUAGGUUUUAAGAGAAAAAGAAUCCAAGAAUUACCCUUGUGAUCAAAUACAUACAACAAUCCAUAAGAAGUUCCAACAAGAAUGUCCAAAUUCCCAUCACCAUCCAAAUCAACUACAGUUGGAGAAGAAUAUAUAUAGGCACGAAACUUUCCAUUCUCUGUACUUAGGUCCAGUUGUGUACUCCAUUUGACCUGCUUUGUGUCUAGAUUGAAAACAACAAUACCACCAGCAACAUAUUUACCAAUGUCAAUGCCACCAAGGUCCUUUGAAUGCUCUGGGUUGUCAUAAUACCUGACAUCUUAAAAACAUCAGCUGAAACUCAUGCAGCCAAUAUCCACGUUUUCCAAGUCAAAAAUAAAGCAACGUGCAAAGGGCUAGUCAUGAGCAAACACAUGUUGAAAAUUUCCUAGAAAUUGAAGAGAAAGAGAGCAAGAUGCCUGGAACAAGUUUGCUUAGACAGAGAAAGAAACAGAGGUGCCACUAAAUCAUGCAUGAUAAAGCACAUUCCAAUGUUCUAAAUUUCCUAGAAGGCUAGAUGUAGUAAAAGUAUGACAUCUAAGCGAUAAAAUUCUUAGCAAAUUGAGCAAUAAAAUACACUUACAGCAAACGUUUGAAAGUUAAAUUCGACAAGAAAAUGAAUACAGCAGUAUACUAUUGAAAAUUUAAUUAGCUGGAGGGACUUUAAUGAAAAAAUAUACACACACACACAUGCACACAAACAUACAUGGUGUUAUACGUACAGAAACUUACUCACGGUCAAAGAAGUAGGAAACUGCAACAACCAUCUCUGAGGUCCCAUCAUUAUCAAUAUCUGCAAUAACCUGAUUGGCAAGAGCAAAGUUCAAUUUCAGACUAAAAUCUGCCUCAUCAUAUGGGAAGAAGCUUUGGUGCUACCAGACUUACAGGAGUGCACAAAACAUGUGCAUCAAUAUGCACAUAAUUUUCUAACAUUUCAUGCUGAGCUUCAGUCCACUCCUCUUCUCCCCACAGAUUUCCAUCAACAUAAUCAUCAUAAUCAUAAUUAUAUUCAUCAGCCAGCUCAUCGCUAUCUCGGAACAAUUCAAAUGAUGAAUCGGCUUCUGCCUCCAAACCUCCAUUAUUUUCCACUGUAGCCUCGUGGACUCCCUCAUUGGUUUUUGCUUCAGAUCCAGAGACACUCUCCCCGGAGCCUUUUGAGACAUUAUCUUCCAGUAGCCUUCUGCUAGUCUUUGAAGCAUUUUCACCGUCGCUAACUUUCUUGAAUCCAGAACCCAAUGAAGUCUCAAUCGAAUUAUUUAGCAUUUGAACAUGUGGAUCUGUUUGGCUAUCAUUGCUUUGCUUUUGAUUUGGUGUAUCAGAUAAGUUUAUUUUAUCAAGUUGAACUUCUGCGACUGUAGAUUUUGUAGAGUUUAAUUCUUCAAUGUGAGCUUCUGAUGUAGUAGGGUUUGAAGUGUUUGCCCUGACUGAACUUCCAUUAUGCUCUACAAGGAUAUAUGGAAUUUAGUAUGAACUUUGUGGUUCAAAGAAGAAUAAAAGUCAAAACACUUUAGGCAGGGGAACCAAUCAGAAUUACCCAAAACAUGGUCAGCCAUGUACUGAUAUCAGGGAAAAAAGAAAAAAAACCAAAUGUCAACAAUUUCAAAAGAUGAACAUGACUGUUCAAACAUCUAAUGUUAAGAGUUGUGAGAAGAUGUGUGGAGGAAAUAGAAUGAGGCAAAAGAAUAAGCACAUGCAGGUUAAUGAAUAGGAAGAUGAUAAUGCAUUUACAAGCAUUCUAACCCACAUAUUGGCAUCCAUCAGCUGGUAAGCAUAAUAGAGAUUAUCCCAAAGAAUUGGUAGCGCAUACAAGAAGUCUGCCAAUCAGACCUCCUUUUGAAUCAUCCAAGGGAACAAAAAGGUCCCAUGCAGAAGAAAAAGGUGAAUAAAAAAAUCAUAAAAAAAAGCACCACCAUCACAAGCAUUACAAACUACUUUCAGAAAAGAAAGUGAUGUACGAGUUAUUGAUUCCAUAAGCGCCUCCUGGAUCAAUAGGUCAUCAUGAACAUUUGGAUGAGAACGGUCCACUGGGUCUUCAUGCAAACCCACAUACCAAUCCUUUUUAACUUUCAAUCUAGGAAUCUCUAGCUUGUCUGACAUCAUGUAGCCAGAAACCCUGUUUUAUUUUCCACAUUAAAGCAGUAAGCCCAAGGCACUUCAUUUAUAGGUGCAAUAAAAGAACCAUGACAGAUAACAGAUUUACCUGAAAAAGAGCACCUCACCAUUGUAGGUGGCCAACCCUAUUUCUCUCACACCAUCCUUAUCAAUAUCAUAUAAAAAAGGACUGGAAUGAACAGUUGACUGGUGGAAAGCAGGCCAUCCUGGAGAAUUAGUCUGAGCAAGUUAUUAAAUUCAACACAGAAACAUUCUGGCCAAUAUAGCAACACAACCAACUAAAUUUCAAAAGCACAAAUAAAAGUGUACCUGGCAUUUUAUCUCCAUCAGAACCUUCUAGGACUUCUAAGAAGUGAACAAAUGAAGGAACAACAACAUCAAGCUUUCCAUCACUGGAACAUAAAAAUAGAAAUCAAACUCAGCAUUCAAAAUAAACAGGUUCUGCUCGCUUACAAAUAUCAUGGAUUCCCACAAACUUUCUUCAAAUCUUAUUCAUAAUGGCAUAGACUAAUCAGAAGUCCCUUUUUCCAACAGAUUCAGUUUCCCUACUCAAUAUUCAUAAUACAUCUUUUUACUUUCUUGUCAUUGACUCAUGAUAUCUUCUUAUGAGUAGAUGAUAGCCCGUCAAUAGCCAACCUCCCAAUUAGCUUCUUAAAGUUGUGCUUUUGAAGAUGGCAAAAUAAGAAAAAUAUGGACACAUAGCAAGCACUUUACUGAAAACAAAUUUUAUUGAAGCUAAAAUCAAAUUCCUUUUGGAGACAACAAGCUGCUUCCAUUCUUUUACCUGUUGAUAUCAGCAAUCAAUGGUGUGGCAUAUAUACUGGAGCUGACUUCCGUUUGCCAUCUUAGCUCCAAAUGCUGAGGGCACUGCGUAUUCAACAGCUCACUCUCAUCCCUAAACAUGACCAGACCAUGAAAUGGAAACUAUUUAAGCUGCCAAAGUUCUCAAAAACCAGGUUUUUACAACGUCAUUUCCCCACCAUACAGCAACAUAUCUUCCAUCAACAAAUUCAAUGAAAAACCAUCCUGUGAACUUUAAUAUCCAAAUUCAACAAUCCGGAGCACACAUACUGUCUGUUUCCCCAGAUAAACAUCACAAUGUAACUAGUAUCCAAGAAAGUGCCAGGCAAAUCGAGCAAAUGACAAGAAGCACCCGACGAUGAAUUAUCGGAGUCCACACAAGUCUUAAAAAAAAAAGGUGAAUAGAGUAAAAGAGGUGGACUUACAAAUUGGGAUAAGCAACGGCAUCGUCAGUAGCCUCUCGCUCUCGAAACUUGUUCUUCUUUGUUUCUUCCGAUCGCAGACCAGCAAAAUAGCAAUUAAAGAGCACAAGGUAACAUAAAAAUAAUAAAACCCUAAUCUUCAUGUCAGAAUCGCUUCGUUAAGUUGAAACUCUUCGAUUUUAAAACAAUUCACAGAUACAUUGACUUAUAACACGGCCUUCAAUCUCCAAGAAAAGAAACAAAGAUAUAUGUUACCAAGCAUCAAAACCAUAAACGAUGUGGUCGAAACCUAAAGCGAUCAAUCGCUUGAUUUUUAAAUAAGUGGCUUCAAUAAUUCGGGGGCAGUGCGAUCGGGCGGAGUGUCAGGCAAGAUAGAGCGAUGCCGAUUUGGACUUACAUUACACGAGUCCAACGUUGACUGGCUUCUUCUCCGGUCACUUUUCACUCAGAGCUUCAGCUCCCUGAUAAUUCUAGAAUAUAUUAUUCAUAUUUCGGAAUUUUGGGCCAUUUGACUCGUACGGUAGCGCGGAGUUUUUACUUGGGCUUUUUCAGGCCCAAAUUUUGGCCGAAUCCUUUCAGUUUUAGCUUUUCAUUGUGCGUUUAUUUAGGGGUAAAAUACACUAAACCCCCUUGUGGUUUAGGUUAUUGUCAUAAAACCUCCUCAUACAUUGAACCUCCUUACACUAUGGACUAAUCUGGAAUUUGGAUGAAAAACAUCCAAAUUAAUGGAGAGUGAGUCACACUCGCCUAAUACGUGAGUAAAAUUGAUCACGUUGAUUUUUCUGUGUAAAAACUGAUUUCUUCUUCCAAUUAUACACUCCUUCUUUUGCUUUUUUUUUUUUUUCACUUUCUUUUGCUUUCCUUCCUCCUCUCGCAAUCAAAAUAGAGACAGUAGAUGCACCAAAACAUCAACUCCCCUCACAACCACGAUCACUGCGACCACUCUUUCUUCUUCUUAUAUUUAUCUUUUGUUGCAGCACCAGAGGAUUCUUAAGAAUGUUCAUGUCAAACUUUGGCUUCUUUUCCAAUAGAACUCUCCUUACAGCAACACCUUUAAUCUCUUAAGUAAUUGCCCUUAACCCAUUCUUUGGUAACCAGAUUUGAUGCCAUCACCAUUGCCAUCGUGGUCACCAACUAAUACGUAAGGCGGGCAGAAAUCCAAAUGGAUUUGAGAUAUGAAUCAAGGUAGCCUCACAAAUUUUCCUUUAAUCCAUGCAAAUAUCUGACUUUUUGUGUGUAAUUGGUGUCAUAUAACCAUUUUACUAGUCCAAAGGAUUGUUUUUAUAUAGUAAUUUGUUGGUUUUGCUUUAUUUUAGGGCUGAAAUUUAUAGUUUUGCCUAUCAUUGUUCAUGCCUAUGUUUGUUAUUCUUUGCUUGUUUUUGGUCAAAUUUGAUAUCAUAAUCAUGAUAUACGCUGAAAUUGGAUUUGAGGGUGUAAUUUUUGUUAAAUUCCACACUGGUGGUAGCUACUGGCAGCUUUGCUCCUACUGUCGCUGCCGCAAGAUCUGUAAAUGAUAAUAAGAGGCCGGGAAGAAGAGAAACUUUGAAAAUUUUCACCUUGACUCAUAAAGUCUGUUUGUAAACCCACAAAGACGAUGAUGGAUGUGGAGGUAGCGGUAGAAAAAUAAUGAAAGCUACUUUAUCGCCGGAGAAGAUGAAGAAUGUUUUGAAAUUUUAGUUUGGCCCCUUAAUUUUUUCCUUAGACAAUUCAAGAUUCAUGAAUUUAGAUGAAAUUUGAGACCCAAUGGUGCUGAAGAUGAUGAUAAAGGUAAUGACCACAACAGUCAUAGUGACGGCGACAAUUGCAAUGAUGGCAAGGUGACAAUUGCUAGAUUGAAGAAAGGAAGAAAAGGAGAAAAAAAUGGUAGGGAAAGGAAAACAGAAAAAGGAAAAAAAAAAGAUAAAAAAGAAAGGAGAUGGGUUCUGAAAUCUGAACAUUGUCCAGUUGGAGAAGACAACAAACUUUUAGAAUUUGUUGAAUUAACCCCUGAAUUUUACUUUUUUUUAAAAUGAAGCAAGAAAGGUUUUAAAAUCUUAAGUAAAACUCGAACUAACUUUUGGUAUAAUUUGAAAACAAGGUUAAUAUAGGAAUUUUAUAUUAUUCCGUCAAAUUGGAUGAUUUCCGUUUGUUGGCCAAAUUAGUCCAAAUCAUGAGGUGAUUCUUUGAGAGUUUUUAAACAAUGAGAAGGGUUUAUGACAAUAACCCAAACCACAAAGGAGUUUAGUGUAUUCUACCCUUUAUUUAGAAAAAUUUUCAUGCACUUCCCUCCUCCUCCUUACCCUGUAUAACUUUUGGCUCCCCAUUCCCCACACAUGCAAUAUGAGAAAUCAAUUGUUCUAAAAAAAACACAUGAAAUGCUUUGGGCCCCCGGAUCACGAGAAGAGACGUGAUUUAUCUUUUAAUCAUCCAAGACAACAUAUGAGUAACGAAAACUGAAAAUUCACCCCCCGGUUGCAUAGGAAUGCACCACAUGAUUUUAAGGGCAGUUGCCCCAUGCCAUAAUUGUACGUGUUUUUGUUCAUUAAUAUCAGUGACAAAUAUCUUUCCUGAAAAACAAAAAAUUUCUGAACAUUCACCCUUAGGAAACUUUAAAAAAAAAAAACAUUUUUUUUCUUAAGUCCAAAACCCUUUCUUACUGAAGGGCAGAGAAGGAAGGGAUAUCCAGGCUCCAAGUAGUCAUUUUUUAGCUCAGAAUCAUCCUAUAAGCAGAUUCACAAAGCCAAUCAGAUGGCCAGGACCCUUGCUUAGAUUAAGAGUGACGACAUGACGAAUUAGCAAAGUGAAGUCCAGGAUCGGUUCAACGAUCACAUACCAAAUUGAAAAGAACCAAGUAAAUACUUACUAAUAAAGGCCUGGACCUACACCCAGAUGUUAUACACAUGCAUGCAUCCAGCUGCCAUCAAAUGCAGUUCCACGAGAAGACGGCUCACAGUGGCUCAGAAAUCUACUCCUCAAUUAUAGUAAUUAAUAUUGAACAAUAUUCACAAGACAGCGAUGUUCGAAAACUGCAAUACUAAAGCUGAAAAGGGCUACUUCUGGAGAGAUUAUAAUUAUAAAGACUACACAAAGAAAACCUAUAAUGAUGACUAAUAUACAUGGCAUCCUACCGCCUAAUUCCUUCCGGCCAGAAAACUUUCAGAAACAAGAACCAGCUGUCCGAAGCUGACGGCCAUAAUAUG